rnacentral:lncRNA from 1 species
AAGCUAGGCCUGGCAAACGGGUCGUGUCUGUCGUGUUCGUGUCGUUUUCGUGUAACACCUGUUAUCUUAACGGGUCGUGUCGUGUCACACCUGUUAUCUUAAUGGGUCCUUAACAGGUCGGGUCACUUUACCCAACGGGUAAAGUGACCCGACCCGUUAUGACCCGUUAAGAAAAAUAUUUUUUUUUCUUAAAUUUGCACAUACCACACAUUACCACAUAAAUAUUACUUCAAAACAUUAAAACAUAUUUGUCAGUUAAGUACUACAUCUACACUCGAAAAUAAGAGCCUAAUAAAAAAACAUCCAUACACUAGUCUAUUACAAAAUAUUAAAUGUACAAGGAUAUGCAAAAUGAAAGAGUUUUUGUUUUCAAGGUUGUGAAGCCUUUCUCAAAAGUUUAAACCUUGCCAAUAGAACUCAAAGUUUGAAUGUUAUUUCUUUUACAAAAUCCUCAAUUUUCAUCGAUCAUCAUGGGGAAAUUGUAUUGGAACUUUGGCUUGAUCUAUUGCCUUCAAGAGUUAUGUUGAUGAUGUUUUUGGUAAGGUUUUCCACGUCAGAACUCUCUUCCGCAUAAACUAAGUAUAGAAAAACCAAACAUUAAAAACCAUUCAAAUUAUACAAACAAGAUUGACGGUUGGAUCAUUGAAAUUAGUUUCAUAGAAUUCGUAUCUCAUCCAAACCAUAGAUACUUAGAGUUUAUUUAUACUUUCAUUAAGUAUAACAUAAGAUUUUGUGGUAUCCACUUGUGUAAAUAUUUUAAAUUGACGAUCGAAUUCAUUCAUUGUAUUCGUAUAGGGUCAACAAGUGUAGUUGUAAAAAAUCAUCAAAAUCGGAGUUAAAAUAACCGUUAAAUCGUGAUUUUUUGUUUUAUAACCGUCGAAAAAGCUUUGUCUCAUUACUUGAUCUCUGAAUGUUUGUUUUUUGUGAUUUUUGGCGUAUGCGAUCUCGAAGCAUAUACAAAUAAGUUUGACGGUUGGAUCGUUGAAAUUAGUUUCAUAGAAUUCGUAUCCCAUCAAAACGAUAGAUUCACUAACACUUAGAGUUUAUUUAUACUUACAUCAAGUAUAACAUAAGAUUUUGUGGUAUCCACUUGUGUCAAUAUUUUAAAUUGACGAUCGAAUUCAUUCAUUGUAUUCGUAUAAGGUCAACAAGUGUAGUUGUAAAAAAUCAUCAAAAUCGGAAUUAAAAUAACCGUUAAAUCGUGAUUUUUUGUUUUAUAACCGUCGAAAAGUUUUGUCUCAUUACUUGAUCUUUGAAUGUUUGUUUUUUGUGAUUUUUGGCGUAUGCGAUCUCGAAGCAUAUACAAACAAGUUUGACGGUUGGAUCGUUGAAAUUAGUUUCAUAGAAUUCGUAUCCCAUCAAAACGAUAGAUUCACUAGCACUUAGAGUUUAUUUAUACUUUCAUUAAGUAUAACAUAAGAUUUUGUGGUAUCCACUUGUGUAAAUAUUUUAAAUUGACGAUCGAAUUCAUUCAUUGUAUUCGUAUAGGGUCAAAAAGUGUACUUGUAAAAAAUCAUCAAAAUCGAAGUUAAAAUAACCGUUAAAUCGUGAUUUUUAGUUUUAUAACCGUCGAAAAAUUUUGUCUCAUUACUUGAUCUCUGAAUAUUUGUUUUUUGUGAUUUUUGGCAUAUGCGAUCUCGAAGCAUAUACAAACAAGAUUGAUGGUUGGAUCGUUGAAAUUAGUUUCAUAGAAUUCGUAUCCCAUCAAAACGAUAGAUUCACUAACACUUAGAGUUUAUUUAUACUUUCAUUAAGUAUAACAUAAGAUUUUGUGGUAUCCACUUGUGUAAAUAUUUUAAAUUGACGAUCAAAUUCAUUCAUUGUAUUCGUAUAGGGUCAAAAAGUAUACUUGUAAAAAAUAAUCAAAAUCGAAGUUAAAAUAACCGUUAAAUCGUGAUUUUUUGUUUUAUAACCGUCGAAAAGUUUUGUCUCAUUACUUCAUCUCUGAAUGUUUUUUUUUUGUGAUUUUUGGCGUAUGCGAUCUCGAAGCAUAUACAAACAAGUUUGAUGGUUUGAUCGUUGAAAUUAGUUUCAUAGAAUUUGUAUCCCAUCAAAACGAUAGAUUCACUAACACUUAGAGUUUAUUUAUACUUUUAUUAAGUAUAAAAUAAGAUUUUGUGGUAUCCACUUGUGUAAAUAUUUUAAAUUGACGAUCGAAUUUAUUCAUUGUAUUCGUAUAGGGUCAACAAGUGUAGUUGUACAAAAUUAUCAAAAUCGAAGUUAAAAUAACCGUUAAAUUGUGAUUUUUUGUUUUAUAACCGUCGAAAAGUUUUGUCUCAUUACUUGAUCUCUGAAUGUUUGUUUUUUGUGAUUUUUGGCGUAUGCGAUCUCGAAGCAUAUACAAACAAGAUUGAUGGUUGGAUCGUUGAAAUUAGUUUCAUAGAAUUCGUAUCCCAUCAAAACGAUAGAUUCACUAACACUUAGAGUUUAUUUAUACUUUCAUUAAGUAUAACAUAAGAUUUUGUGGUAUCCACUUGUGUAAAUAUUUUAAAUUGACGAUCGAAUUCAUUCAUUGUAUUCGUAUAGGGUCAACAAGUGUAGUUGUAAAAAAUCAUCAAAAUCGGAGUUAAAAUAACCGUUAAAUCAUGAUUUUUUGUUUUAUAACCGUCGAAAAGUUUUGUCUCAUUACUUGAUCUCUGAAUGUUUGUUUUUAUUUUAUUUUUGGCGUAUGCGAUCUCGAAGCAUAUACAAACAAGUUUGACGGUUGGAUCGUUGAAAUUAGUUUCAUAGAAUUCGUAUCCCAUCAAAACGAUAGAUUCACUAACACUUAGAGUUUAUUUAUACUUUCAUUAAGUAUAACAUAAGAUUUUGUGGUAUCCACUUGUGUAAAUAUUUUAAAUUGACAAUCGAAUUCAUUCAUUGUAUUCGUAUAGGGUCAACAAGUGUACUUGUAAAAAAUAAUCAAAAUCGAAGUUAAAAUAACAGUUAAAUCGUGAUUUUUUGUUUUAUAACCGUCGAAAAGUUUUGUCUCAUUACUUGAUCUCUGAAUGUUUGUUUUUGUGAUUUUUGGCGUAUGCGAUCUCGAAGCAUAUACAAACAAGUUUGACGGUUUGAUCGUUGAAAUUAGUUUCAUAGAAUUUGUAUCCCAUCAAAAUGAUAGAUUCACUAACACUUAGAGUUUAUUUAUACUUUUAUUAAGUAUAAAAUAAGAUUUUGUGGUAUCCACUUGUGUAAAUAUUUUAAAUUGACGAUCGAAUUCAUUCAUUGUAUUCGUAUAGGGUCAACAAGUGUAGUUGUAAAAAAUUAUCAAAAUCGAAGUUAAAAUAACCGUUAAAUCGUGAUUUUUUGUUUUAUAACCGUCGAAAAGUUUUGUCUCAUUACUUGAUCUCUGAAUGUUUGUUUUUUGUGAUUUUUGGCGUAUGCGAUCUCGAAGCAUAUACAAACAAGAUUGAUGGUUGGAUCGUUGAAAUUAGUUUCAUAGAAUUCAUAUCCCAUCAAAACGAUAGAUUCACCAACACUUAGAGUUUAUUUAUACUUUCAUUAAGUAUAACAUAAGAUUUUGUGGUAUCCACUUGUGUAAAUAUUUUAAAUUGACGAUCGAAUUCAUUCAUUGUAUUUAUAUAGGGUCAAAAAGUGUACUUGUAAAAAAUCAUCAAAAUCGAAGUUAAAAUAACCGUUAAAUCGUGAUUUUUUGUUUUAUCACCGUCGAAAAGUUUUGUCUCAUUACUUUAUCUCUGAAUGUUUGUUUUUUGUGAUUUUUGGCAUAUGCGAUCUCGAAGCAUAUACAAACAAGUUUGACGGUUUGAUCGUUGAAUUUAGUUUCGUGUAUCCCAUCAAGUUCAAUGGUGUGUGUAUAUAUAUAUAUAUUUAUUUAUUUAUUAUGUAGAUUUAAAUCUAUUUAUUUUGUACGUAUAAUUAUUAUAGUUUUUUUAGGGGUAUAAAAUUUAAUUUAAAAUUUAAUAUAUAUAUAUAUAAUUAUUAUAGUUAAUAUUUUGGGGUAUAAUUAUUAUAGUAUAUAUAAUUAUUAUAGUUAAUUUAAUAUAUAUAUAUAUAUAUAUAAUUAUAGUUUUAAACUUUUUAGGGGUAUAAAAUUGUUAAAUUAUUAUAUAUAAUUAUUAUAGUAUUUUUUAGGGUUAUAAAAUUAUUAAAUUAAUAUUCUGCUUAUCGUGUAUCGUGUUACCCACGUGUAUACCCGAACCAACCCGUUAUAUUAACAGGUGCUUAUCGGGUUACCCGAUAAUACCCGAUUCGUUAUCGUGUCGACUCAAACACCUGUUAAUUUCGGGUCGUGUCGUGUCGGGUUAUCGGGUCGUGUCAGGAAUUGCCAGGCCUACUGAAGCAACUCAACGGUUGAUUUUUUUUUAUUAUUUUUUUUUAUUUUUUUUAGAAAAAAACCUAUUGACUACCUCUUAUAACCAAGGAAGAAAAUAUCGGUAAUAUCGAAAAUAUCGGUAGUCCGAAAACACGGAAAUAUCGAUGGAAAUAUCGGGAUAAUAUCGAUAUCGAUAAAAAUUACAUGGAAACCACGGAAAUUGUAAGAAAAACUUGGAAAUUUUUAUUGAAACUUUGCAGGAUGUUUAUUUAGUCAAUUAUCUAUUAGUUUAUCACAAAAAAUUGGAAGGAAAUGCAUUGCAUGAUGGAUUUAACAUUAUCAAGUUGAUUAUAUAGCGAGCUGACAAACAUUGUAAGUGUAGAAAAUAUGUAGUAAUUAAUGAAAGAAGUCUAAACACACCAUAAUCAUUUAUAUAUAAUGAAUUAGUACAAUAUUUUACACUUUAUACAUUGCAUUUUUGGUUCUUCUCUAACAGAAUUUGGUCUUCACGUGGAGAAGAAGAUAAAGUAAGCAGAUUUUUUGGUUCUUCUCUGACAGAAUAUUUGGUUCUUCUGAGCAAAGUCACUUCCAAUUCUUUCAUACAAAACCGUGUGCCACACACACACAUCCUCAAAGUUUUUUUCUUUUUCUCUCGGAUAACACACACACACACAUAACCAUACACACACACACACACACACACACAAAACCAUGGUUUUAUACAAAACCAUGUGCCAAAACUCUCUCGGAUAACACACACACACAUAACCAUACACACACACACACACAUAACCAUACACGUGAACACACACACACACACAAAACCAUGGUUUUAUACAAAACCAUGUGUCAAACCGUGUGCCACAAACACACACACACACACACACCCUCAAUGUAUUUUUUUCUUUCUCUUGGAUAACACACACACUUCUCCCUCAUUCCACACACACACACACGCACACACCCUCCAUCUACAGAGAUCGGAGAUCUCUCUUCUCCCAAACACACACACACACACAGAGAUCGGAGAUCUCUCUUCUCCAUUCUCCGAUCUCUCUUCUCCCUUCUCCGAUCUCUCUUCUCCCAAAACACCACAUACAAAGAGAGAUCUCCGAUCUCUCUUCUCCCAAACACACACACACACACAGAGAUCUCUCGAUCUCUCUUCUCCCUUCGCCGUUGAUCGUGGCUCUGGCGAAGUCGGAGUUGGCUCAGUCGUCUCUGGCGGUGCGCCGCUGAGCAAGGAUCACGUUCAGUCAUCUGGUUCGUCUUCGUCUUCGUCAGGUGAGAUUCCAUUGAAACCCUAAACCCUAAACCGACUUCACAUAUGUUGAAUCGUUUAUGCAUGCGUGAAAUCUGAAGUUUAUAUGUGAAAUUGAUGUUAAAAUUCGUGUUUUUGCAAGGUUUUUGGGACGAAAUCGGCCCGAGAAUAGGCACACCGUCUUCGGCGUUCUUCUCCGACGUCACCUCGGAGUCCGAUUGCACCAAACUCAAAAAAAUUUCGUCGAUAUUUCCAAAAUAUCGCGAUAUUAUCGAUAUUAUCGAUAAUAUCGCGAUAUUUGGCCGAAAACCAUUCGGAUACCACUUAGAAUAUCCAUCACCCGAAAAACCGAUAAUAUCGGCGAUGGCAUUUUCUUCCAUGCUUAUAACCUCUAUGGUUAUACUAGUUUCGGUAGUGGAAGUUAUUGAAAAAACUUAUAAUUUCAAUACAAAUUUACUUUCUUUUAUGAAAUUGUUGGAGAAUAAUUUUUGUCACCACUACUUGAACGAUCAAAAAUUUAAGAGAUAAAAUUCAUGAAUAAUGACAUUUUGCGAGACUAUAAAACUUUUGAUCAUUCAAAAAAACAAAAAAAAAAACUUUCACUAAAAGAGUGGACUGCCGUGACAAAGUCACUAACUGGUCCUCUUUUAAAAAGAAAAGAAAGCAAAAGGUUUAAACCUAUUUACCUAUAUUCACAUUUAAGUUCCAUGGUGAGGGUCUUAAGGUUGUGUUUGGGUCUUUAAUUCGGGCCUUGGUAUCGAAUUAUGGCUCUAAGUUUGAGGUUCAUAUAUUUGUUAGUUUUUUUGUCCAAAGUUUGAAUUUGAUACCAAUAUAGAUUACAAGAUCAUGUGCAAUUACUUGGACCAAACAACCAACUAAUAAACAAUUUACACAAGAGAUGGGCAUAAAAUAAUGGUAGUCAAAAGUUUCUACGGAGGAUUGGCACUAAAUUGAGAGACUCGUAAUUUCUUAUCACAAGUAGUCAAUGUACAUAAAAUAAAUGAAAUCGAACUUGUACAAAAACACAAUAUUUAGUUAUUAAUAUUAUAUUCUAGAUAACUUACUAAGUUUGUUGUUUAAAGUAUGGUUAAUGCACAAAACCGGAGGAGUCUUGGAACAACGUAAAUCUGACUGUGAAUCUGCAAGAAAGUAAAUAACACAAGAUGUAUCGUGGUUCACCCCAAUGUUUGGGCUACGUCCACACUGAUAUUGUAUUUCUCUGUUUGUGAGAGGAUGAGAGGGUGAGAGAGCUCUUCCCAUGGCCUGAGAAUUGGCCUCCCUUAAUGAGGAGAGUGACGGGUCCUUUUAUAGAAUAAGGGCUCCUCACUUAUUACAUAUUUGCCCCUUCAUUUAUUACAUAAUUACAUUUGAGUUCCCCGAAUAUUUAUACGAGAUCUAAAUACGGAGACCCUAAGUAUGGUACAAACAAGUAUUGUAACACGUGUAAUUGUAUCGCAUAAUCAUUUAAUUAUUACACUAUAAGAAAAGUUGACAAUAAUAAGUUGUAUAAAAUGAGGUUGGUAAAAAUCAGCAAGUGGUUAAUGAGAUUAUUAAUUUAUCCUGAGUGUUACACCACGAAGUUAGUCCACUAUAAAAAAAAUCGCAUAAUAUAUUUGUUGCUUGACCAUAAAAAGUUAUAUUUGUUUGACUUUUUAUGAACUAAAUGAAUAGUUUAUUCUAACAAGUGCUAUCAAAUGUCAUUGUUUGUGAAAGAGCGAAAGGAUGUUUCAUCGCUAAGAACCAAUGUCUAAAAUAUCGAUGAUAUCGGAAAUAUCGGUAGUUCAAAAACACGGAAAUUUCGAUGGAAAUAUCAGGAUAUUAUCGAUAUGAAUAAAAAAUGCGGAAAUUGUAAGAAAAACUUGGAAAUUUUUAUUGAAACUUUACAGGAUGUUUAUUUAGUCAAUUAUCUAUUAGUUUAUCACAAAAAAUUGGAAGGAAAUGCAUUGCAUGAUGGAUUUAACUGAUUUAAGUUAAUUAUAUAGCGAGCUGGUAAACAUUGUGAGUGAAAAAAAUAUGUAGUAAUUAAUGAAAGAAGUUUAAACACACCAUAAUCAUUUAUAUAUAAUGAAUUAGUACAAUAUUUUACACUUUAUACAUUGCAUGAUAAGAUACAUAAGUGACUUAGUACCAUAUAGAGUUCCUAUGAGGUUCAAAAUUUUCACUAUCUUUAUCAUCUCUAUGUGUAGAGUAAGUGUAAAAUGGGAGGGGUUCGAAUCCCCUUGGUGUCGAUUAAGUGUAAAAUGUUAGGUUGAAAUACGAAAGUACCCCUAACCUAAACAGAUGAGGAUACUUUUACCCUGCAUCUCUCUCGAUUCCCAAUUAGUUCCUGCGUUUUCACUUGGGUGCCGACAACAGCUCCUCAAAGAAACCCUAACCCUAACCCCUAAAUCUCUCUAUCUACGACGCUUGCACCCCUCCUCUAAUGGCGAAAAAACGAAAGCUUAGCUCCUCUGAACCAUCCGCCAUAUCCAUCCAAAUGCCUUCCUCCUCACCUCCUCCCUCUUUCUUUUUUUCCUCUCCCUCACCAAACUCUACCUAAACCUCUAUUAGGAAAAUCUCUCUCUCUCUUUCUCUCACUCCCCUCAGUAUAUACAUCUCUCUCUCUAUACAUAUCAAAAAUGGCUUCAACACCGCCGCACUGUUCAAUCACGGCGACUAAGCCUUACCAGAGCCACCAAUACCCCCAAAACCAGCGCCUAAAAUCUCAUCGCAACGCCCGCCAACCUAAUCAAUGGACGACCUAACAAGUCUCCCUCCCAAAGCCUCUGCCUUUACCCUCCCAACCACCGCGCUCCGCUCCAAGGCCGCUGUUUCCCACCCUAGCUCCUCAUUUUCAUCCCUCUUUUCUCUCCCUCAUCCAAAAUCUGAUCUUGUCACCGCCUUCUCGGGCCGCCGCUCCACCCGAUUCGUCUCCAAAAUGCACCUGGGCUACCCCAAGACCACCGUGGGCUCCCACCACUCGGCGCUGGUAGAGGAGGCCCUGCACCACGCCGUCUAAUACGGUAAUAAUGAUUUGGCUCUGAAUCAUGUACAGUGGGAACGCCUAUCAUAGAUCUUUGCGUGCUCCGUUGAAAUCCUAGUAUCCUACCAUGGAUGAUUUCAGAUCCAAAUUGUGCGACCAUGGAAGAACGGAGGUGGAGACCAACAAUGGCGGCAACGGUGCUUCGUCGGGGGUCAAUGGGAUGCAGGAUCUCAGGUGCUACAGCGCGUUCUACGCGUCCUCAGUGCACCUGCAGCAGCAGCAGCAAACCCAGGCGGGAAAUAACGGCAAGAAGUUCAGGAAGGGGAAGUCGGCGAACGGGUCGGCGACGAAUGGCUGGAGCUUGAGCGAUCCGGAGCUGCAGAGGAAGAAGCGAUAUUAUCGAUAAUAUCGCGAUAUUUUGACGAUAAUUAAGUGGAUAAGUGUGAAAAUAUCGCCCUCUCACAAAAAUGAUAUUAUCGGCGAAAUAUCGUCGAUAAUAUUGAUAUUUUAGACAUUGCUAAGAACAAUGAAAUAUGAGAGGUGCUAAAAAAAAUAUAUUGUCUUUAAGUGAUUAAUUUCAUGACUUGGAAAUAAUUCGUGCAGAAAGUAAAUAAUUUUAAAACUCUUAUAUGGCCACCACUCAAAACCACAAAAAUCAAAAGUCUUUAAGACAAAUCCAUCACAAAUAUGACAGAUGUGACAGACCCAUCACCUCACAUAAAACCAUCGCAAAGAAAUGAUGCCACGCAAAUCAUUGAUGUGACAAAAACAAAUUGUCAAGGCAACACAUAAAAUCUACUAAAUACGUAAAAAAACAAACUAAACCGACCACGGAUCCACAAAGAAGACCGGGUACAGAUGUGUUGGUAGCAGGGCAUGUGACUCGCGGUUUUAUCAAGGACGAUAAACAGAGGCUGCCACGGAGAUCCCAAAGCCAAAGCACCGUCGUUGCCCGCUACAAACCCAUAGAACCUACCAAUUUGCAUAAACCCGUUAGCACCAAAAUUUGCUGAAAAUUUCUGUCGGCCUGGAACAAAGGAUAAGAUUUGAGCACAUUGGGGUAAGUGGCACAGCUAAGUUAGUACAGAGCCGACGCCAACGUAUUUUAAGCUGUUGUUAAUCGUCACACAGGUUAUUUUGGACUUAUAGGUUAGUUAACUACAUAUUAACGCGAUUUACUCUUUUUAUACAACAAUAUUGGGAGAAUUUGCGCUAACCCGCUUAAUGAAUCAAUUAGUCGUUAUCCAUAAAAUCGAACGUUAGACUUAUUAAUUCGUACUUUUACUUUACAGUUUAGUACUUAUGGUCAGUGACAUAUUCAUCCCAUAUAUGGUAACUUCUUCCUUUCUAAUUUUUUUUUUAGUUAAAAAAAAAGGUUUAGGGGGAGAUUGGAGAUUGGUUACUCUCACCUCCAGCGUCAGGACAUACCCACAACCUCAAACCGAAAAAACAUACGCCUGACAUCUAACUGUCAAGUGCCAUAGGUAUGGAUUUACAUAGAAAUUUAUAGAUCGCACACCAACGAGGAGUGCUGGCAGCAUGACUCAAACUUUGGUGGGUCAAUACACAAGACAGGGACCUUGCCAACUGCCAACUGAGCCAACCCUCAUUGACACUUCUCCCUUUCUAAUUAUCUACGUGUAUGCCUUCCCUUUUUAUGGGAGGUUGCUUUCGAAAUUAAAAUUUUCUGUUCGUGGAAAAAAUAGCAAGUGGUCCUAAGUUCUAAGUAUCUACAUUAUCAUCAUCCUCAUCUACCAAAAUGUGUUAAAUUAUUCAGUAACGUGCCGGAGUGAAGUUGACCAAAAAAACAAAUCAAGCAAGUCUUUGACCUCUUUAAGUUCGAUUAGAAUUCUAACAUUAAGAUCUUUAAAUCACAUAGAAAAUGUAUUUGAAUUGUCUUGAUUUUUUCUAUAUUUAUUAAGGGGUGUGAUAUCCACACACCCCUUUUUACUUCUCCCACACCUUUUUAGUUUUCGGCCAUCGAAUUGGAUGAAUUGAAGAAGAUCAACGGACAUAAAUUAACAAGGGGUGUGUGAGAAGUAAAAAUAGGUGUGUGGAUAUCACACCCCUUUAUUAAAACAUGCUUACCUUCACUUAGUCAUAUGGUAUUUUAUUACUCUUCUUCACUUAUAAAUGAUAGGUACUAGAUUUUAAUAUCGUGAAUGACGAGUUUAAUACUAAUUUAUUCUCUCACUUUUUAAUGUAAAUAAAUUGUUGUAUAAAAAAUAUCUUCUCAUGAGUUUAUUAAUAUAUGAAAUUAAAACAAGGAAAGUGGUUUUUUAAUUUACAAUUUGUAAAUAAAUGUAUGAAGAAUUAGAAAUUAGAACAACUGAGAAGGCUAGUUGAUGAAUUAUCUAUUCGUUCUUUCUCUUCUUCAAUUUAUGAGUUCCAUGCGCCCAAUUUAACAUGUCAUACAAAUUUAGUUAAAAGUUUAUAAGGUUUUAACUAUGGCUAAUAUUACAAAGAUGUAUCUAAAUUAGUAAUGAAUAUAUCUUCAUUGGUAAUGUGUUAACACUGAACACCAAUUGAGAGGUCUUAGGUUCGAUUCUCGACAAAGAAGAAUUUGAACCACAUUAUUAUUAACCCAUUGUGAGGUUAAGCCCAUCCAUUCCCCCUUAAUGUAGAUAAUAUCGUAUGGUUAUAAAAAAUAAUUAAAAAAAAACCAUUUAACACCAAUACUUAAGUAAAAUUCAAAUUGUCACAUCCCGGCCCGGGCUAAAUCGAGGCGUGCUGUGUCACAAACUUUCACCAUUUAUUUUUAAGUCACAUUGGAAGAUUUCGAACUCUAAUCCUAUAUUGUGCCUAUUUAUCUCCCAACCAACCACCAAGCUAACUUUAAUGACUUAAAAUAAUUUACUUGUAUCAUAUUCACUUGUAAGUAAGAGGUUUUAGGUUUGAUUAUUGUCAAAUAUGAGUUCAAACCAGGGCCGGUCCAGAGAUUUUUGAGGCCCGGGGCGAUGUAAAAAAAAGUGCCCUAACUUCAUGUAAGAAAAUUAUUUAUUUUCACACAUAAGACAUUGAUAAAAUUAUACUUAGAAAAACACUUCAAACUCAAUAAUUUAGAAACACAAAAAAGACUACUUUAUUUUGUAUUGAGAGAGGGAAACAAAAAAAACUUCAGGCCUACAAGUAGAUAGAUGAUGAGUUUUGUUUUCCAUAUGAACUUUGAAUGUGUUUUUGAAUAAAUUGUGAGGUGUUUUUUUUUCUUAUUUACUAACCUUGUCAAUAUGGGACUAAAAAAUAAUGAUGUUUUCGAGUCUUUAAUUGAUAUGUAUUAUUAAUGAAUGGGUACUAAAUUAAACAUUUUGAUAACACGUCAUAUAAUUUGCAAAUUUGGUCUACGUAUUAUUCUUUGUUGAAGAUUAGACUUGAAUUAAAACGAAUAUUUAAAAAUAACCCACAUAGCUACUAGAUAGUAACUAAAAAUAAAUUAACAACCAAACAAAAAUUUGUAAAAAUUGAAAAGAAUAAACAUGCACAUAACAUUUCGAACUUAGGAUCUCUUGUUAAUUUUAAACAUAAAAAAUCAUUGUUUAUAAUUAAACUUCUUGAUCCUUUAACCAAAUUUUAUAAAUUUAUACUCUUAUGAAAAGACAUUUGUAAAAAAUGGAAAGUAAAUAAGCACACAUGGUGUUUUGAACCCAAGACCUCCUCAUUAUUUUCAAAUGACAAACCACCACUUCUAGUUAAAUUUCUAUGUCUUCGAACCAAUUUUUAUAAAUUUAUACUCUUAUAAAAACAUAUAUAAAUAUACCACCUUAAUAAUUUCGGUGCCCCUAAUUUUUUUGGGCCCCGGACGGUUGCCCUGCUUGCACUGGGCCUGGGCCGGCCCUGGUUCAAACCACAUUAUUGCUAGUUCAUUGUGAAGCUAAGUCCACCCCCUUUAUCCCAUAAUGUAGAUAAUAUCGUUUGUUAAAAAAAAAAAUCUUGCAUCAUCCCUCAUAUAAAAGUAACAAUCAACAUAAUAGAAGAAAAAUUAGUAUCAUAUGCAUAUUAUAUGUAUAAUUAUCAUCUAACUGUGAAUUUUUUAAUACAAUAAUAUAUUUAUACUAAGGAGGUGAGCGAAUAAAUUAGAACUUAUGACCUCCAAUUACAAGUACUGACGAAUGUCAUUAAAUCGUAGUACUAAGUAAUCAAUUAGUUAUGAGUUUAAAAACAGAUAAUUAUGUGGACCAAUAAUAGGGGCAUCCUUCUAAAAGGAACAAGAAAAUGAGGCAAAGAGUCAAUUACUGUGUAACUUUUUUCGUUACAAAAGUUAAAGAGAAGGAAUAGGGGGACCACACCCACAGUUAACAAAAUUUAAAGAGCCCUUAUAAGUAACUAAGUACGUAAUUAGAAAUUAAUACAAAAUCAGGCAACAUAUACCUAAUUUAUUAAAGAUGUAUUAGUUGUAAUACAAAAAAAUAUUUGAAAAUCGAUAACAGAGUUCCACUGAUAAAAGUAAUGGGCACUAUUGUCUCUUUAGGAAGCAAUAGGUCUCUUUUGCAGUUAAAAUAUAUCUGUGAGUUUUCUCGAUUUUUGAAGGGUAGACUGUAGUGACUUUAUUACUAGCUGGUCCCAUUUUAAAAUAAAAAGGAAAAAAAAAAUAAUGCUAGGUAGACUAAAUAUUUAGACUAAAUUUACAAACCAAAUAAUUUGUCACCAAUAUGAAAUAAGUACGUUAAUCAACAUUUAAUAAUUUAAUUAUCGAUAAUUACGUCAUAUAUUUUAUAAAAUCUGAGUUAAAUAAAUGUUAUUCUUCGCGUUACAAAAAAAAAACACAUGUUGCAUUGAAAUUAAUGAAGACAUCUCUAACAAAUAAUCCUCAAAUAUAUAAAUCAAGUAAAACAUACUAUAGUAUUACCUAAGCAUCCUCAAAUGAUUCAUAAUCAGUUAUAAGAAUUUUUAAAACACAAACAGAUUCACAAGAAAAAGACAAUGAACAACAUAAUUGAUCGUCAACGUCGUAGAAGUAAACGUGUGUGACUGUCACAAGUAAAUUGCAUUUUUCAAAUUUGAUUUUCGUGUCUUUAAAAUUGGCACUUUGAACACUUUUGAAUGUAAUACAUUUUUUUUACCAACCUUAACUUUUGUGGUAGUUAUAUGUACUUGAUUGAAGGCGAUUUCAAAAUUUUCAAGUUUAAUUUACAUGAAUGCAAAAGACGAUAUACCUUCAUUAUAAUUUGUUACAUAAUUGACAUAAUUUUAUGGGUAAUGCUAGGAAGAUCAUAUUUUUUAAACUAAAUUUACAAACCAAAUGAUGUGGUUGUAAAUUAUUGGAUUAUUAAUCAAGUGUCAAUUAACGUGCCAAUUUGGUUUAAAAAUUUAGUCUCCUUAGCAUUAUCCUAAUUUUAUUGUGAUUGUGCUACAUAGACUUGAACGAAUAAGUUAUGGAUGAAGAAUUUUUUCAGGUUCUAGUUAAUCGCAUUUUUUUAAAUGCUUAUAUUAUCGGUAUGCUAAUUCCUCAAUAAUGCAAGGUUACAUUUGUCAAAAUAGAGCCGGUUGUAUGGGAAAUACUUCAGGAAGUUAUGCAAGGGCAUUCCAUAUUACUGAAUAAGGCGCCUACUCUGCAUAGAUUAUUAGAUUAGGCAUAUAGUCGUUCCAACCCAUUUUCGUAGAAAGACAUGCUAUUUGUUUACAUCUAUUAGUUUGUAAGGGAUUCAAUGUAGACUUUGAUGGUGAUUAAAAUGGUUGGUCAAAUGGCUGUUCAUGUACCUUUAUCUUUGGAGGCUCAAGCGGAGGCUCGUUUACUUAUGUUUCUCAUAUGAACCUCUUGUCUCCAGUUAUUGGGGAUCCUAUUUCCGUACCAACUCAAGAUAUGCUUAUUCGGCUCUAUGUAUUAACGAGUGGAAAUCAUCGAGGUAUUUGUGCAAAUAGGUAUAAUUCAUGUAAUCGCAUAAAUUAUCAAAAUAAAAGAAUUGAAUAAUAACUAUAAGUAUAUGAAAGAACCUUUUUUUUUUGUAAUUCCUAUGAUGCAGAUGGAGCUUAUCGGCAGAAAAUAAUCAAUUUAGAUAGCCAUUUGUGGCUCUGGUGGCAAAUAGAUCAAUGUGUUAUUACUUCGAGAGAAACUCCCAUCAAAGUUCACUAUGAAUCUUUGGGUACCUAUCAUGAGAUUUAUGGGCACUAUCUAAUAGUAAGAAGUAUAAAAAAGAAAUUAAAUGUAUAUAUGUUCGAACGACAGUUUUCCUAGUAUAUAUAACUGGGACGUAGAAGUAUAUAUAGAUAAUAUGAACAAGAGAACUUCUUGAUAACUAAACUUUUUAUGAGUUCUCUCUAAAAAAACGUGCUCUCUCUAGUUUUCCAACUUUGCAAACACUCUUGCCGCUGGCCUUAGCCUUUGGCUUGCGUGCCCAUGGCUACCCUUGUCCAAUCUUCUUGUUCUCUUAUUUCCCUCAUUCUCAUGUUCCCUUUUAUCUUUUUCAUUUUUCCUUGAGUUUUAUCUCAGUUUCCUUGAGCUUUGUGCUCAAAUUUUGCUCAAAUUUUCUCGUGAGUUUAUCUCACUUUUGGGCUUCAUGUACCUUUUCUCUUCCCCUCCCUUUCUUUUGGCCGUUCAUUUCCAAAACCAAAAUUCCAUCUCCCCCGCUUUUUUCCCCUGUCUCCCUUCUCAUAAUCCAUCCCUACCCCAUCAUUUAGGUACCAUUUGGUAUGCAGACGGGAUGGAACGAGAUAUAAUGAGACGGAACGGAACAAAGGUUCCAUGCUACGUUUGGUGUACGCUUAGGCCGGAAUGGAACGAAAGAUUAAAUGACAAUUAUACAUCCACUCCGACGAGUUCGACCUUACCUGAGCCACAGCCAACGAGUUUAACGUCAUCCCUCACAUCUUUCGCCUAAUCCUCGUCGUCUCAUCCCUCAAGCGACGGCGUCGGCCACGUCCUUUCACUGGCUUUCCCCGAUACCCUUCUAUUCUUCCUGUUUGUUUCCCCAGAAAAUUUCCUCUCUUUGGCUUUCUCAGGAACCCUUUAUCCGAUCUAGGUUUUCUUCGUUUUGCUGUUUUUCUUCUUUGAAUAUAGAAAUCAAACGCAAAUAAAAUUGCUUUUUGUUGGGUUUUUGUCACUCAAUUUCCCGGAAAAUUUGAAGUUAGAUAAAAAAAGCUUGAUUUCCCGGAAAAACAAGAUAACUCAAUUUUUGAGUUGAUCCGUUGAGGUAAAUUUCAAAAUUUAAUGAAUAUUUUAAGCUAAUUAUGUAGAAAUGGAAAGAUCUAUUAAAUUUUGUUUAAUUUUCGAAGUGAAAUUAAUGAAAAAUAUGAGGGGUAUUGUUGUCCAAAAAAUUAUAAUUUUGUGUUCCAUGGGCUAGAAUAAGUCGUUCCAGGGGGAGGGUGGUACGAAAAAUUGGCUAUUUUCAAGGGACAACGUGUCCCAGGCAAAUUGGCGCACCAAACGUGGGACGAGUGCGUCCCGUCGGACUACGUUUUGUCCCAUCCCAUGUACCAAACAGUACCUUAUUCCAUCUCCCCCACUUUUUCCCCAUCUCUCAUUUCCUCAUAAUCCAUCCACACCCUUUACUUUCCCUACCCCAACCAGCAUGUCGGAUUUUCCUUGAGGCCAAGUGUUAUGUGACUUCAGCCAAAGUAAGGGUAUUUUACAUACCCCUUAGCCUCACCUUCUAUCCAUGUGUCUGUGUUUGUAAUUAUAUUUGCAGAGAUUGGUAAAUGGGAUUUGGAUCUGGUGACUAUCUCUUGGUUCUGCGUCUUUGGUGAAGAAAUCUGGAUGUGGUGUGCUUUUGGUUGCAAGUUUGGUACUUUUGUGCUGCGAUGUCUUGAUCGAUUUCACCACUCGGUCAAUAUCUCUCGUGUUGCUUCUUUGGUAGCUCCUAGCAAUACUUUCGUGGCGGUGAAAGUGACGGAUGUUGCGGUCAGAGAUUAGGGAUGUGGGUUUUUGUUUUUGCUUAUUUAAUUGGGCUGGCCUUUUAUGUAUUUGUUUCUCCCCAAUAUAUUUGGGUUAUUUUCCCUUGUUAUGUGUUGGUCUGUAACCUGCUUUCAAAUUAAUGAAAUUUAUUAUUCAUACAAAAAAAAGAUAAUAUUGUUGUAGGCCUAUUUAUCUGAGAUAUCUAAGAGAUUAGAGAGAUAGGGGGCCGGCGGUAGCAAGAGGGAGAAGAGAGAUAUUUAAUUGUGAGGUGUGUAAUGUAUCACUCUAUUGUGCCUUUAUUUAUAGUAGUAAGAUAGGCAAAAACCUUACCAUUUAGGAUUACAACUCUUAAUAGGUAAUCAACUCCUAAUAGGAAUAUAAGAGAUAUCCCUAUAUCUACUAGGAUUUGCACAAUCACAUUCCUAUUCUAAAUAUGAAUGCAACACUCCCCUUUGAGUGUGUAAUACUCAACAAACCAUUGCAUCAAAUCUUCAACAGAUAAGGUAGAAUAAUUGAUGAAGUCAUUGACACAACGGGUGAAUGCGAGUCUCAAAUUUAAAGAAAGUAUGCAUUGGUAGUAAAACUCAUAAAACCUCGCUAUGGUAAAACCUAAGGCAUGGGGAAAACCCAUAGGCUAAGGAGAAAAGUGAGGAGUAUGCAUAAUGUCUAAAACAAAUGUCAAACAGGACGAAAGUAGUGAACUUAAUUGAGUAUGAUCAUCCCAGGAUAGGAGCAUCAUCAAAACCUCGUUAGGUAGCAAAAACCCAAUGGAAAAAUGCUUCUAAUUGUAGGAAAAAAAGUACAUUAAGAUCAAGUAAGUAUGUUUCAGGAUACUCCCUUUGAGUUAGACAUAACUUCAAAAUAAUAGAACUACAAGCGAUUCAACUCAGAUAAUUUACACAUACCAAUUCGUUGGACGAGUUUCUGAAAAGUAUACUUGGGCAAUGACUUGGUGAAGAGAUCGGCCAAGUUGUCUUGGGAAGGAUUUGCUUGACUUCAAUGUUUUGAUGCUAUUGUUGCUGGUGUGAGUAAAAGAACUUUGGCACUAUGUGCUUGGUGUUGUCUCCCUUGAUGUAUCUAUUCUUUAACUGCUCGAUACAUGCUGCAUUGUCUUCAAAGAUCGUCGUAGGAAGGUUAAAGACUGAAGUAAAACCACUAGUGUUUCGAAUAUGUUCCAUAACUGCUUUCAACCAAAAACACUCACGCGAUGCUUUAUGUAGGGCGAGAAUAUCAGCAUGGUUUGAAGAAGUCACAACUAGCUUUUGCUUGGUAGACCUCCAAGAUAUAGCAGUGUCUCCAACGGUAAAGACAUAGCCCGUUUAAGAACGUGCCCUAUAUGGGUCAGACAGAUAUCCAACAUCUUCGUAACCAACAAGACGAGAAUCAAUUCGAGAACCAUCAGGGGCGGCAAUACUAAAAAAUUCACGGGUAUAGAACAAGCCCAAAUUCGUCGUACCCUUGAGGUAGCAGAAAAUGUCUUUAACACUAUUCCAAUGCAUGCGUGUGGGCGCAUUGUUGUAUCUAGCCAAAAGAUUAACAACGAAUGAAAUGUUGGGUCUAGUGCAUUGAGCCAAGUAGAAUAAAGCCCUAAUUGCACUUAGGUAUGGAACUUCGAGUUCCAAAAUCUCUUCCUCAUCCUCAUUUGGAUGGAAGGGAUCUUGUUUAGCAUUUAGAGUCCGAACGACCAUAGGUGUACUCGAAGGCUUCACUUUAUCCUCAUUAAAACGCCACAACACCUUUUAGGUGUAGUUCGAUUAAUGUACUAGGAUUCCAUCCAAACAAUGCUCAAUAUCCAAGCCGAGACAAUAUCGAGUUUUCCCGAGAUCUUUCAUCUCAAAUUCCGAUUUCAAGUGUGCAACAAUUUCCUCAAGCUAUACGGGAGUUCUAAUGAGGUUCAUGUUGUUAUGCACAAAAUCAGCGAAGACUUUGGUACAACAGAAAGUGUCAGGUUUUGUGACCUUCGCUUGGUUGCUUCGGUCACUAGUGAGGAUAAGUACGUAAAUGAAUAGAGACAGAGAAGCAAACACAGGAUGUACGUGGUUCACCCAGAUUGGCUACGUCCACGGAGUAGAGGAGUUCUUAUUAGUAGUGAAGGGCUUACACAAGUACAAAGGAUCAAGCUCUCAAUUUAGUGAGUUCUUGUGAAUGAUUUAACACAAAUGGCAUUAGGCCAUAUUGUGGGGGAAUGACCCCUAUUUAUAGAAAAACUUGUAGCUUUGUCACAUUGACAUGUGUCAUGUUAUGAUUGGUUCUUGAUGUCGACACGUGCUGCGCUCUGAUUGGCUUCUAAUCUUGACACGUGUCGAGUAGUGAUUGGCCUCCUGGUCGGAGGGGAACUCUUCUGGGUCCUUGACAGUAUAGCGUUGGCCGGUGCUCGGUAGUUUCGGGAUUGGUCAAGUAUGGUACAAACACAUGUCAUCAACAUAAACUGCAUCGAUUGCAAAUCUAGAAUGUGGCUUCUUUAUGAACACGCAUGGGCAUAAUUAGUUAUUCACAUAACCCUGACUUGUCAAAUAUUCACUCAGACAGUUAUACCAUAUCCGCCCGAAUUGUUUCAAUUCGUAGAGUGACCUCCUUAACCUAAUUGAGAGAGUGUUCCGUGAUCUAGAACUAUUUGAACCAAUCAAUGGAAGUUCUUCUGGAACUUUCAUAUAGAUUUUUGUAUCUAGAUCCCCAUAGAGAUACGCAGUUACCACGUCCACAAGCUGCAUAUUCAGUUUUUCAAAAACUAUUAAACUGAUUAGGUAGCGGAACGUUAUAACGUCAAUUACGAAGGAAUACAUCUCCUAUUAAUCAAUCACAGGACACUGAGAUAAGCAUUGCGUUACGAGGCGUGUUUUGUAUUGCACUAUUUCAUUCUUCCCAUUAUGUUUCCCCACGAAAACCCACUUGUAGCCCACGAGCUUUACACGUGGUGGGGUAGGAACAAUAGGUCCAAACACUUUACGUUUCGUGAGUGAAUCGAGUUCGACCUGGAUUGCUUAUUUCCAGUUUGACCAAUCUGUUUUACGUUGGCAUUCAUCAACGAAAUGUGGUUCAAUGUCAUCGUUAAACAUGAUGUCAGUAACUAAUAUGUACGCAAAUGCAUUGUCGACGAUCAUCUCAUUUUGAUUCCAAACCUCAUCAAAUACUGCAUAAUGGACCGAAAUCUCAUGAUUCUCGGAAGGUUGGUUUGUCUUGUCUAAGACAUCAUCAUAAUCUAGAAUAACCUUAUACGUUGGAAUGGAUGAGUGAGCGAUGGUUAAAUUCAAACUAGGGUCACUAGUUAGUGCCGAUUUCCUCUUCCAGGGUUGUGAAUCCUUUGAACCAAAGGGUAUGCCACGCUUCAGGUCAGAGCAGAUGAUUGAUUAGUCGUCAAUGUACCGGGCUGUGUGAAAGGUACGGCCUCCUUACCUUCAGGGAUAGUCUGGCCUUCCCAGGCAGGAUGGUGACAUACGCGGGGUACAUAUAUCCUUGCAGGUGCGUUUGCAGCAGGUAUAUGCGAUCUUGUCACCUUUGCUAGAUCAUUAAAAUUAUCUGGCAUGCUCUGAGCAAUGCUCUGAAGAUCUAUAAUUUGUCGCACCUCAGUUUCAGACUAGGCAGUGUGAAGAUCAAAAUGAGACAUAGUGGGAGCAUGCCACGACAAUUCGCAGUGUUAUCCAAGAACGUUAACAUGCUUAUCUCCCCUUAACGACGGGAAUACUAUCUCAUCAAAGUGACAAUCUGCAAAAUGUGCGGUAAAAAGAUCUCCUGUCAAGGGUUCUAAAUAGCGAACAAUUGAUGGCGAAUCCUAAUCGACAUAGAUUCCCAUUUUUCUUUGAGGACCCAUUUUGGUAUGUAGUGGCGGCGCUAUUGGCACAUAAAUUGCAUACCCAAACACACGUAAAUGCAAGACGUCAUGCUUGUAUCCAGUAGCCAACUGUAACAGUGAAUGAGGUUGGGUAGCGGUGGGCCUCAUGUGGACCAGCAUAGCUGCGUGCAAUAUUUCAUAGCCCCAGGUAGAUACUUGAGUUUGGUUCUCAUAACCAAAGUUUGAGCUAUCAAUUGAAGGCGCUUUAUGAAAGCUUUUGCCAAAUCGUUUUGGGUGUGAACAUGGGGUAUAAGAUGUUCCACAUUAAUCUCUAUUGACAUGUAAUAAUUGUCAAAAGUAACUCUCCAUUGUUAUCCAGUCGAGUAGACUUAAUCGAAUAAUUAGGGUGGUGAGCCCUUAGCUUAAUGAUUUGUGCUAGGAGUUUAGCAAAUGCAGCGUUGCGUGUGGACUACAGGCAAACAUGUGACGAUAGUGUCGAUUCAUCAACCAACACCAUAAAAUAUCUAAAUGGUCCACAUGUUAGUUAGAUAGGUCUACACGUAUCCCCUUGAAUCCUUUUAAGAAACUUAAGAGGGUUGUGAAUGAUCUUUGUAAUCGAGAGUUGAGUAUUCAACUUCCCUAAAAAAACACGUUUUGCAAGGCAGGAAUCCAACAUAGGGAGGUAACCGAUGCCCAUGUGAUGAUUUAAGGAUACGACGCACCAAGUCACGUCCAGGAUGUUCUAAACGGUCAUGCCAAAUCAACAAAGUGUGUUGGAACUCAGGUAUAGGGUCGGUCACAUGGUGGGCUUCUAUGCCGCAAAUGGUUGUGAUAUACAACCCACUCGGGAGACGUUCCAAUUUCUUGUGAAUACGCUUCUGGUCAAAUUCGUACGAAGUGAUACAAAGAAAUUUAGAACCAUUAUCUUCAGUGGUUUCAACAUGAUAUUGAUUAUCUCGAAUAUCUCUAAAACUCAGCAACGUUCUUUCAGAACAUGGAGAAUAGAGUUCCUGAGAGAGUUGUUAAAGGUGCUUUCUUGGGUAUUAAGUCAGUAAAAUAAUGUCACUGACACAAGAUGGUGUGCAUGGUAGCAUUAUCAGCUAGACAACUAAGUUCCCCACUAAACAUACUUAGAAAUAAAUUGAUAGAAUUGGUCACAUGCAUAAAUAUAAAGGAAAACUAAUGAAAAGGGUUUGAAAACUUUGAGUUUUAACGAUAAGGACAAAAUAAAGGGUAAAGUGAAUAAUACCAUGAUUGACUUUUUAGUGUAAAAAUGUGAUUUUUCGUUAAAGUGAACAGUACCGGGAGUUUUUUGUUAAAGUUCCCUAAAUAUAAUUCAAUUCAUUCAAUUAAGCAAUUCAAGAAAUAAUAUCCAUCAAAUAACAAUCCAUAAUUCAAAACAAACCAAAACCAACACAAUUUAUUCUAAAGACUUAAAAAAAUUGUUCAAAAAUUAAACCAUAAACCUAAAAAAUAGGGUACAGGGGCCGGCCACUCCUAGUGGGUCUAUAGGCGUUGACGCCUCUUGAAAAUCCAAUAUCUCCAUUGAUGUAGUCUCAUCUUUCAGAUGUUCCACAUGUGCAAAGUUAGACUCACGACAAGAAUGAUACUUGGCAAUAACCUCGUGGUUAGCUUGGCAUACGCGUGACCAAUGAUCAUUUGAUCUAUAGAGAUAACACAUAUCCAUUUCAGUGGAAGCCGAUUGAACGGGAGCUUUGCCCUUGUUCUUGAAGUUCGGGACCUUUAUGGGCAAGGGGUGGACACUGCUGGGUCACAUUUCCUCCCUUGGGGCCGGCGCUCUGUUGACAUUGGGCCUGUGGUUGGGCUUGCCGCCCAUUACCACGGCCAUGAUGACUUUUUCAUCGUUUGUGGCUACUAGAAUUGGUCACAUGCACUUCAGGUGUGGCGUUUAAGCCAGUUGGUCGAGCUUGAUGAUUCUUCAUCAAAAACUGGUUUUACUUUUCAACGAAAAGUAGUACAGAGAUCAAACCCAAAAUUUUGGUGAAUUUAUGUGCCCUAUAUUGUUGUUGGAUGACAUUAUUGGUGGCAUGGAAUGUCGAAUAGGUAUUCUCUAGGAGAUCUGAUUCAGUUAGUUCCACUUUACAUAAUUUUAGCCGUGAUUAAAUUCUACAAACUUCAGAGUUGUAUUCAUUCACAGACUUAAAGUCUUGGAAGCGAAUAUGCUGCUAGUCAUGUCUUGCUUCAGGUAAAUAUAUGUCUUUCUGGUGAUCGAAACAAUCGCCCAGAGCAAGCCAGAUGGUAAGUGGGUCCUCCUCAGUGAGGUACUCGGUCUGUAGAGCAUCAUAGAUGUGUCUUCGAAUGAAGAUCAUUGCAGUAGCUUUCUAAGUUUCGUCGACAUGUUUGUUGUCGGUAGGUGCCUUAAUGAAGGCUCUAAUACCCUUUGCAGUAAGAUGAAGGUUCACGUCUUGAACCCACUUCAGGUAGUUUCUUCUGGAGACUUCCAAAACGAUGAAAUCGAGCUUGUUCAAGUUCGACAUGUCCCUAAAUGGAGGGUAAAAAAAAAAACGUGAUUAAUCAUAUGAUAAUCUAUAGACAUAUAUCAUAGAACAUUCAGGUUCUAUAGACAUGUAUUGGUUUAAUUUAUGCAUGAAAACUAUAGGUUUCAUGUGGUAAGUUUUGAAUGAAAACUUCGGGUUUCAAAUACACUAAAUAUGAAACUACAGGUUCAAUUUAGUUUUUAUGAACGAUUAGUUCAUAGAGGAGAGGUUCUUGCAAGAAACAUAGAAUGCAAUAUGCUGAUUUAAGUGUUGUGGAUUUGAGUUUCUUUGGGAACUCAAGUGUGAGAGCUUUGUUACUAUGAAAGUAUGUCAACGGUUCAAAGUAUAAAAAUAAAUUAUUGAAUCAUUAAUGUCCAAAAGUGAUAUUCAAGUCAAUAAUUUUGGAUUCAUUAUCAGAUUAAUGGACUGCAGGUCACUUUUAAUUAAUUCAAUAGAUCGGGACCAAAUGGGGUCGAUUGUGGAAGCAAAAUAAUGCCAAAAUAAUAGCAUUGGGUCGAAAAAAUAUAGCCCAAAAAGGGGGUUUGGGCUCAGGUAUGGCUGCAAUAGUAGCUUAUAAGUGGCUACAGGCCACGACCCGAGAUAGGUGAGCUCAGUAGUAGCAGCUGCUGGCUUUUGGGCCAAAUAGAGGGGCACGGAUCAGGCCCAGCGAAACGCUAGCCUUGGGUUCGCGUGGGAAGCCCAACCAAGGCUAAGUUCGGGUGGGGCAAGCUCAACCCAACGGACAGGGCUGCGAGAAGCGGGCUGGGGCGACAUGGCAUAGCCUAGUGGGCUAGGGACUCAUGGGACAUCGGGCCAAAAGGCUGCAAACUUUUGGUUUGGGCUAAAGGACUUCAAGCCCAUUAGUUAGAUCAGGCCCUAAGGCCUUGGGAUGUCUGGGUCAGUGCAACAAGCCCAAAGGCUGCUGCUGUGUGGUCCACUCGACUGGGCUUCAGGCCAGUGGUGGUCCGAUGAUGCCGCGGUGGGGGUGCAAUGGUGGUGACACACAAUGCCCAACGCAAAAAUUGUUUUUUUUUCUUUCCGACAUGGUUAGGGUUUGAACAAACCCUAAAGUUGCUUCUAAUUUAUUUAUAUGCUUUGACUCAUAAUUCCACAUAGCAAUUUAAUUGCGUAAUGCGUUAAACACACACACACACAUAUCUAUUGACAAAUAUACGAAACAUAUACAAUAUAUAUAUAUAUAUAUAUAUAUAUAGAGAGAGAGAGAGAGAGAGAGAGAAAGAGAGAGAGAGCAAAGAAAAUAUAAACAUAGAGAGGUUCAUGCAUCACAUGCAUUAUAGGGAAUGUUUUCAUGCUUCGUGGACAUUUCAAACAUCUUCCUUUAUUUUAAGCAUACCUGAUUGGCAGAAAACAAAGAAGAGCCUUUGAAUUUUGUAGAAGAUAGCCUUCUCCUAUGAUCCGUCAAUUCCUUAUCUUUUGACAAGAGCGUGCUGAUAACAUGUUGUAGGCCUAUUUAACUGAGCUAUCUAAGGGAUUAAAGAGAGAGCGGGCCGACAGUAGCAAGAGGGAGAAGAAAGAGAUUUAAUUGUGAGGUGUGUGUUGUAUCAUCCCAUUGUGCCUUUUAUAGUAGAGAAUAGGCAAAAACCUUACCCUUUAGGAUACAACUCUUAAUAAGUAAUCAAAUCUUUAUAGAAAUAUAAGUGAUAUCAUAUAUCUACUAGGAUUUACAUAAUUAUAUUCCUAUUCUAAAUAUGACUGCAACAAAUAUAAACAAAAUUAAUGAAAUUUACUAUUCAUACAAAAAAAAAAGGAUAAUAUGAACAAGAAAAUCAAAGUUAAGUGAAUGAAUGCAAGAGGAGUGAGUAUCCGGUAUCGUCAUGUUUAAAGCGUUGAACAAAAAUUCAAGGGCGGCCCCCACAUCCGAUCACCUCUUCUGGGUGCCCACUCACCACGUGGUGCUCGAGGUUAGAGAACGAAUAUCAAUAGACUCGCAAGAGCCGCGUUUUGACCCCCCCUCCUGUGGCAAAAUGGUAAUUUAACCCCCCCUUUUCCCUUCCACUCAUCCAACCUUCCUUUGUGUGACAGCACCCUGCCUUCCCUGCCUACCCAAACAACGACCUCCCCUCUCUCUCUCUCUCCUCUCUCUUUCUCUCUCCUCCAUUUUUUUCUCUCUUUUUCUUUCUUCGAGCCAAUCUCCUCCCAGGUGUCCGCCUAUCGGCAGCGCCGUGUGUCGCCGGUCCUUCUCACUUUCAAGCCCAUUUACCCGGACCGGACCUAAAACCCGACCCGAUAAAUGUUUGUCCCAUCGGCGCCCGAUCUUCCAUGUGCGCUGCUGCUGCCGCUUUAGUCACUUCUCAUAAUUGCAGUUCCAACUCCUAGGGUUUUCAAUCUCUCUCUCUGUACAAAUCUAUCCAAUUCUUUUACUUCAGUUAUUGUUUGUAUGGAGCUUGAGCAAGCUCAGCUCGCCUCCGCCUUCUACAGACCCAGUAUACAAGAAGACGGAGGCGGAGGACGAGAACCGCCGCAACUGGAGAAGGUGUUUGACCGGUCGAUGCCGGCGGGGGAGGAAACCUUGGCGGCCUUUCAAUGCGAAACGAUCGGUGGGGGGAUGGUUGCCGGGGAGGCGGGGCAGAUGGUGGUGGUCAAAGAGGAGGCGGGAAAGAGCAUGGGGAAGCGGAGGCGGGGCCGGCCGCCGAGCGGGCAUCCGAAAGCGACGGCGGUGAGGAAGCAGCAGGACGAAGAAGAAGACGUUUGCUUCAUUUGCUUUGACGGCGGAAGCCUCGUGCUUUGUGAUCGCAGGUGAGAAUCCGGUUUUUCAUGGUCGCAGCUUAGUCAAUUCAGUCCAAUUUUGAUUAGUCCAUGAUAUAAAAGCAGAGAUAUUUUACUUAAUUUAGCUGAUUUGGGUUAUUUCAUCUCCUUAUUGGCAAUCCAGUGGACAGUUCGAGUCGAUUUUGUGUUUCGUUUUGUGAAAUUUAGUGGAUGUGUUGUUGCUCAUUUGCAUUGCUUAAUUAAGUCUUGUUUGUGGAUUGAUACUUGUUAGGGGAUGCCCUAAGGCUUACCAUCCUUCGUGCAUCAAGCGGGACGAGGCCUUCUUUAAAUCGAAAGCCAAAUGGAAUUGCGGUAUGUUGCACUAUGUUAACCUGUUCAUUUAUUGUCUCUUUGGUAAGUUGAGUUAUCAUGGUUGUGUGGUUUGUUGACAUUUCGGUGUUCCCGGAUAUUAUGCAUGUCAGGUUGGCAUAUAUGUAGCAGUUGUCAGAAGGCUGCCCAUUAUUGGUGCUAUACUUGUACAUAUUCUCUGUGCAAAGGAUGUACUAAGGGCGCGGAUUAUCAAUGUGUACGAGCAAAUAAGGGAUUUUGCGGAACAUGUAUGAGAACUAUAAUGCUAAUUGAGAAUAUGCAAGAAAACAAGGAAGGGGUAUGCUUGAACGCGUAUAUAUUUAUUUCCAGACAUUUUUUUACCUAUGGAUUGAAGAUUCUCAGCUUUGUUGAAUUUUGGAGAGGGAUUGGAUUGAUUUAAGAACAGAAGAGAACUCUUUCAUAUUGAGAAUCGUAUUAGGUUUUUAUUUUAUUUAUUUCUUUAAUUGUACUUUGUGCCUGCAUUAGUGCAUUAUUUGCUGCUGUAAUUAAAGUGGCAUUCCAUCACGUUCUACCCUUUUGGAGGUUUAUUUAUUUUGUUUCUUUCCGUCUGGCGGUGCAAUUUUAUUGUUUUCGUUUCUCAUUGAAAUUUUCUGCAGGCUCAAGUUGAUUUUGAUGACAAAAGCAGCUGGGAGUAUCUCUUCAAGGUUUACUGGAUUCUUCUGAAAGGGAAACUAUCGUUAACUUUGGACGAGCUUAUUAAAGCUAAAAAUCCAUCGAAUGAAGCUGCUGUUAUGGUUUGUAAGAGGGAUUCUUCAGUUGAACUUUAUGAUGGUAAUAAAACAAAUUCAGGUGCUGUCAACUGUAGUGCAGAUUUGGAACCUACACACUCCAAAAGAAGUAAUAAAAAGCCUAGAACUUCUGACAAGGACUUGAGUGUUGAAAAAUCACUUGGUGAAAAAGGGAUGCCUCUCCCUGAAGACACAGUUUGGGCAUCGAAGGAGCUCUUGGAGUUUGUUGCUCAUAUGAGAAAUGGUGAUAUAUCAGUGCUAUCUCAGUUUGAGGUCCAGGCGCUUUUGCUUGAGUACAUAAAGAAAAACAAUCUUCGUGAUCCUCGCCAGAAAUGCCAAAUUAUUUGUGAUUUGAGGCUCAUAAGGCUGUUUGGGAAAGAAUGUGUGGGUCACUUUGAAAUGUUAAAGCUUCUUGAAUUUCACUUCCCCGUAAAGGAAAGUUCCAAGGCAGAUAAUAUUAGUAGUGCUGGAAUUGUUAAUACUAUUGCCAGCCAAAUGGAGAUUGAUGGGAACUAUGAUCAUCAAACCAUGAUGGGUAAUGAUAAGAAGCGUAAAACACGCAAAAGGGUAGAUGAGAGAGGAUCACCGACCAAUCCAGAUGCAUUUGCAGCGAUUGAUGUUCACAACAUUAAUCUGAUUUACUUGCGUCGUAACUCGAUGGAGAAUUUUUUUGAAGACGUUGAUAAAUUGCACGAGAAGGUGGUUGGUUCAAUUGUGCGAAUAAGAAUUCCUAGUGGUGAUCAAAAGCAAGAUAUUUAUAGGCUUGUCCAAGUCGUAGGUAUUAGUAACACAACCAAUGCUCCAAGUUAUUUAUUAUAUUUUCACAAUAAGUCAUGCAAUAUUUGUAUUGAUGACAUCAUUGUCUGCAGGUACCAGCAAGGUUGCUGAACCUUAUAAAGUUGGCACAAGAACAACUGAUGUUAAACUUGAGAUCUUGAACUUAAACAAGAAAGAGAUUAUAUCAAUUGAUGAGAUCUCUAAUCAUGAGUUCUCCCAGGUCAGUGAACUUAUUUCCUGCUCUCCUCCCAGGGACAGGGUUCCUUAAUAUAUCUUAUCUACGCAUGCUAGAAUUUUCUUUUUUCAAUAAUUCUUUUGGAACUGAAGGUUAAAAAUACGUGUGAAUUAGUUUAUAUAUCAAUAAUGAAAGUUCUUGGAGCCCAAUUAUUAUUUGUGCCCACCUUUUUUCAGUUAUGUGAACUAUAGCAUGAAAGGAUGCUGGGGAAACGUUUACACGCACCAUUAAUGACUGACCUGAAACCUAUAUGCACACUAUUUUCAAUCCUUUCUUAACAUGGAAAAUAAUGAUAUAACCAAAAAAUACAUUGAUUAAGGCAUGCUAGUGUUUACAUAUACAAGUUUUUUUUGGUCACAAGACAGUCUGUUGAGGUGUGUUGAUCGUGUUCAGAUACUUAUUCCCUUUCAUCCCCUCUUAUUCAAUUCGGACAUUUUACUUAUUUUCACAGGAUGAAUGCAAACGAUUACGUCAAAGUAUAAGGUGUGGACUCAGCAAACAGUUGACUGUGGUAGGUUUGCAUGUUAUGUUCUGUUGUAUGUCAUGUGCAAGAUAUUUGCAACUCUUUUUACAAAGGAAAUUUGUGCUUGGUGUAGGGUGAGAUUCAGGAGAAAGCAAUGGCACUUCAUGCAAUUAGAGUAAAUGAUGUAAGUUUCGUUACUUUUAAUGCUGAGGCAAGAAGAGAAUACAUAUGUGUUUUUAUGGAAGGAUUUUAGAUGAUUUUUCUUUUCCCUUUUUAGUUAAUAAUUAUACUGCCCCAUUUAAGUAUAUUCAUUGGCUUUUAUUGUUUCUUCUAAAUAAAUCAAGUGCUACAUCUGAUAUUGCUUUUUGGUUGCCAAUGGUCUUGCUCUAUGAUCUAGUGUCUGGAUGCAGAGGUAUUACGGAUUAGUCACCUUCGCGAUCGAGCAAGUGAAAAAGGACGCAGAAAAGAAUAUCCUUUUUUGUUGAUUGUUCAAUGCUUUUAGUUUCUAUGUAGACAUUUCUUGCACUUUGUUGUGGUUGUUCCAGUUGCAUUCUCUGUUUACUUGUUGAUUACAUGUAGCACAUUACUUAGUAUGAGAGGCCGUUUCAUGGGUACCUUGUGUACUCUAAUCCUCGUACUGUCUUGUGGCUGAGGUAUUUUGGUCUAAGAAUAUCAAGUUUUCCUUGACCAUAGUGUACGCUUAGGCAAUGCGUGGAGAAACUACAGCUUCUGAACUCGCCAGAGGAACGUCAGCGCAGACUGAGUGAAAUUCCUGAAGUACGCCCUGAUCCUACUAUGGAUCCAAGUUGCGAAUCUGAAGACAGUGCUGGAGCAUUCGAUAAGAAACAAGGUCCCUUACAUUGAUUUAAUAGACAUGGAAUAACAUCUUAUCCGUUUCUAGUUUUCAAGGCUUCUUUUGGAAAUGUUAAUUUGGUGUUACUUGCGCUGAUGUGUAUGCAGAUGCUAAAGUAAGACCAAGAAGAUCUGGUAGAAGGGGAAGGGAACCUUUCUCGCAACCAAGGGAAGGUGAUACUUCAAGCAAUUCAAGAAGCAAGGGACGGAAAAAUUCGGGCAGAGAAACAUUUGGAAUUAAUGGACGCAAUACAAGAAGGAGCCAGGUCAAUCUCACUGGUUUGGUGUCUUUUGAUGGGAAUAAUCAAUCAGCAGUUGAAUCUAAUACACUUUCUGAGGUUGCAUCAGAAAAUUCAUCAUUGCCCUUAUCUAUAGUGACGAAUGCGAACCUAUGUGUUGAUGAUUUUGAGGCAGACAUAAUAUGGCACUACCAGGACCCCACUGGAAAAGUUCAAGGACCAUUUGCACUGAUGCAGUUGCGUAAAUGGAGUACAGCUGGGCACUUCCCUCUUGAUCAUAGAAUAUGGAAGAUAAAUGAGAAUCCAGGUGACUCCGUUCUUUUGGCCAAUGCAUUGAAUGGACAGUACAAAGAACCAUUAUUGCCGCAUGACAGCCCGUUACUUUCUCAGGGAUUUACAGUUGCCUCGGAUGAUAGAAACAAUGGUCAGGAUGAUGGAAGGAACAAGAGUAUGAACCCAGCUGGAGUGGAUGAUAAACAGGUUGAAGAGAGCUGGAACAUGAAGCAGGAUGGCCAAAGUUUGCAUAAUAGUGAACUUGCAAGGACCACUGCACUUGCAGAUGUUGUCAAUUCUAGUGAUGAACAAAAUAGAAUCGUUUUGCAAGGCCAGGUUCCAUUGAAGGAUAAUAAUUCUUCACCUAACCAACCCCAAGAGAGUAGUUCACAACCUUCUCCACCUGUGAUGCCAUCUGAAACCCUGUUGCAUCAAGAAGGGGAAAGUAGAGGAGCAGAAAUUAACUCUGAUCAGACGAAUGGAAAUUUGGAUCCCCAACAAACUGCUCAAGGUCAAAUUGCGAAUGGACAGUGUAAUGAGAGCCGAUCUGAUAGUGAUGGCCAUUCAGGCCAAUCUUCAGGGCAAAACUGGAGACCUCCACCUGUAAGCAGUCCUUCAAACGGCUGUCAUUCCAACUCGACUUUUGUUCCUUUCGCUAAAUCAUUUGAGAGUGCAGAACAAGAUCAGAAGGAACAUAAUUUUUCAGAUAUGUCCAGUCCCACUCCAAAACCAAGCAAUGGAGACUUAAGAAGUCAGGCUACUGAAAAUAGACAGUUUGUGCCUUCAAAUGCUCCUGUUCAGGACGCUGGCCAUAGCUGGAGCACUUCUUCUAGUUUAGUGGGCGGUGGGGCACCACUUCCGGAAGUAGGUGGUGACUGGGGUCGAUAUUCCCCUACUCCAGCUAAACCAUCUUCUAUAGAGGAAUGGGAAUCCAGUCUUGUCUCUGCAUCUUCUUUUAAACCAAGCGAGAUGGAUCAGUUUACAGAACCAACUGAAUUUUGUACUUUACCUGAUGAAUCAGUUUCAGAUCUUCUGGCUGAAGUUGAAGCAAUGGAGACUCUCACCAGCUUGGCUAACUCAACUUCAAUCAUGAACUGUCGAGGGGAGUUUACAGAGGGUUCAAAAAACGGUAGUAUCAGUUCUGUAGAUGGAUUUAGCCCAGCACCCGACCCUGGAAAAGGUGAUGCUUUGAGCUCCACUGGUGAUUUACGGGGUUCCAUGGCGGCAGAUGAACCACUUGGGGUACGUCAGGGAAAUGCUCUUGAUUUGAGCUCCACUGGCGAUUUACAAGUUUCCAUGGAAACGGAGAAACCAGUUGGGAUAUGUCAGGGAAAUGCUCUUGAUCUACAAAACAGAUCUGGUGUACAUUCGUCCACAAGCCCUGGAAUGGAGGGAGACAGAAAGUACAGUGAUGUUUCAGUUAACCAAUUUGAGGCAGGGACAGAGAUACGAACCACUGCACCGUCGGACAUAGGCAGUACAGACAACCAUUGGAAUGGUAGGUCAGAAAGCACAGGAAGGAGUUGGGAAGCAGUUCAGCCGGUUCCGAGAAAUGCAAACAUGGGAUGGGGAGGACCAGACCAAGGAAGUGUAAACCUGGGUUGGGGAGGUGGUCAGGGCAUAACACAUGGAAACACGAGCAUACAUCCAGGUCAUCAGUUGCCCGCCAGGGGCAUGUGGGAAAGCCAACCAAGAUACGGUGAGGAAAGAUUCUUCAGUCCAAGAGAUCGUGGUUUCCAGAAUAGGGAUUUAGGUAUCGGUAGGGGUAGGUUUGGAUGGAACAGGCAGACAUUGUAUGGGAAUGGAAACGGAAACGGAGGUUCGUUCAGGCCUCCCCCCAAAGGGCAGCGGGUUUGUAAAUAUUACGAAAGCGGGCACUGCAAGAAGGGAGCGUCGUGUGGUUAUUUGCACCCCUGAUUUUGGGUCUCAAACAACAAAAUUAGACACAUUUAAUUCUGUAUUCAUUGCUCAUUAUGAGGAGACUGCUUAAGUGAAUAAUUAUUUUUUUGGGAUUAGAUUUAGCAUAUUAAUUUAGAGUACCAUAAUAUUGUGGUAUUCAUUCCAUGUUUCAUGUACUAUCUGAUGAACAAGCAAUGACGUCCACAAUGGACCUUUUACCCAACUCAACAAUUAAUUCCUUGUGUUUUCUUCUUGUGCAUUUUGCUAAGUUGCUUCAUCUUAAAUGCCAACUCCAUCCAAUCAUGCCUUAAAAUAGGGUUAUGUUUACCGUAUCAAAUUUAGGUGGUUUAGUAAUUCGUCGUUAAAAAUCACUCAUGCGUGCUUUAGCGACGUUAUUUCUAAUUGUGGGUCAUGUACACUUGUAAUGAUCUAUAAUCAUAAAUCGCUUACACCCGCAUGAGUGACUAUGCACACUAUGACAUGCAAUAUAACUUAGUGAGGAAAGAGAUUUGUUGACACUUUAGAUAUGACUCACGGUAACAUCUCAAACCUACCAGACUGUCACAGUCACAUAUAACAAUCUAUUAUAAAUGAAGAUGGAAACAUUAAUUGUUUUUUGUUUUUUUUUUUGUUUGAGAACAUCAAUAUUUUAUAUUAAGAGGAGGGGGAGUUCGGCUAAGCCACAUAGUAGGCAACCUAAUUUGGUAUCGAAUUCUCUAUUCACGAGAUUCAAACCUAAGACCUUUCAUUUUCAAGCGAAGAUGAAUACCACUAGAAUGUAGUACUGAGUGGCUGGAAACAUUUUUUUUUUAAAGGGAAAGAAAUAAAAUACUUUGACUUUUUAUUUAUUUUAUAAAAAUGAAAUUAUUUGACUUAAGAAAUUUCAUGAAAUAAAUAAAACUAUAUAAAAUAAACAACAUGAAUUGACAUGUAUAUCAAAUGUAUCGAAAACAAGUCUUCACGUUGCCGCGUGGACAAGCAAUGUAGAAGUAGUCAGGACAAAUUUCAGGAUUUCAAAAAAAUUUCAGUUCAUUCGAGGCUUCAGGUGGCAUCACUCAUGGCCCCGCCGUCGUAUCUGACGCCGACGCAGCGGUACGCCGCCGGAGCUCUGUUCGCGUUCGCUCUUCAUCAGGCUCAGAUCCACCAGACGCGCCCUCUGCGAUUGUCAUCACAAGAAGAAGAGUCGACGGAGGAGCGGACCAGCAGCGUCAGCAGCGCCGACUCCGUCUCCGACGACCCGGAUCUCUGGGUCCACGAAAACUCGGGUCUCCUCCCACCCGUUUUCAGGUCCACUUUCUUCUUCAAUUUUGAGUUUUUUAUUUUAUUUAUGUAUUUGAGGUGAUCGUAGAAAAUUUUGGUUGCCCUGUUUGGGUGCUGAGAUUGUUGGGAAUUUAGGACAGUAAUUCAUAUUUAGGGAUUUGAAUUCUAGGGUUUUGAUUACCUGAGGCAUUGUGAAUAGGUUUCUGGAGAUUGAUUCUGCAGCAUGGUCUGGACUUCAGGAGAGUGCUGCUACUUCUCCUGCUAGCCAUCAUGUUGGAGCUGUAAGUUCGUUUGUUGCAAUAUCUCGAUAAACAAUUUAUUCGGGGUUUUUCAGGUUUCGGGUUUCGUUUUUGUUAUUGAUUUUGAUUUUUGUCAUAGUUCUUGAGGUUGCUUGCUGAAGAAGGUGGUCGUGAUGGUAAGGAUGCUUCAGAAAAUUCAGAUCAAGAGCUUGCGUUGUCAAAAGGUAUUGACGCUAUGGCGUCUAGCAUGGAAAAGGAUCACGAGUCUUCCCAGUCGAAGAUGGAAAAGCAUCGUGAAUAUGAAAAUGAAUGUCGCGAGAAGUUCUCCACAACUGAGGUGAAAGAGAACAUUGAGGCGGCGGAUGGGAAGUUGGGAACUUCACAGGAGAAAGGGUCCACAGCUGUGGUGAAGCAAAAAAGGGAAGAUGUGGAUGAGCAUUUGGAGAAGCUGAUGGAGAAAUGCUCCACAGCUAAUGUGAAACAAAAAAUUGAAGAAGUGGACUCGCAAUUGGAAAAUCUGCACGGGACUGGUGGUAAUCUGGUUAGGGUUAAAGACGCAGUUGUGUCUACCAGUGACAUUCGUGACAAAACUAUUGGAGAGUUGACAAUGCUCAGUUAUGAGAGGAAAGUUACAGUUCUCUAUGAACUUCUUACAGCUUGUCUGGCUGAUAAACGUGAAGAGAAGAAGAAAUGUACCCGUCGGAGAAAGGGUUACGAUGCUCGGCAUCGUGUAGCUCUGCGUUUGCUAGCAACUUGGCUUGACGUCAAAUGGAUGAAAAUGGUAUGUGUACUUGUCCCUCUGAGUACCCUAUUCCAGAUAUGCUUAGGUAGAUAAUGUUCUUACUUAUGUUAGGUGUCUAGAAGGAUGAUCAAUAUGAAAAGAAACCUCGGCAUUUUUAUCAUUAAUGAUGACGAUCAGAUUAGUAUCUUAUUUUGACACAAAUUGACCGUAACUGCAUUCCCUGAUUGUUUAUGGUGAUCUUUUAUGAUUCCCCCCCCCAAAAAAAAAAUUGCUUUGUAGGAAGCCAUUGAGACAAUGGUUGCUUGCUCUGCAAUGGCAUUAGUAAAACAAGAAGAAGAAAAAGAAGGAACCCAAUCACCAAAAGACAAAUGGGCUAAAUGGAAGCGUGGUGGUAUCAUUGGUGCUGCUGCAAUAACUGGAGGAGCGUUGUUGACAAUAACUGGUGGUAAUAGAUCCUAAAGAUUUUUUCCUUGUUGCUGGUGAAUUUAAUUUCCUAUCAGAUUUAUAGGUUUUGGUUCUGCAUUGCAAUUCAUGUAGUUUUACUAUUCUGCAGGACUAGCAGCCCCCGCAAUUGCUGCAGGACUUGGUGCUCUAGCUCCAACAUUGGGCACUAUCAUCCCAGUCAUUGGAGCAAGUGGGUUUGCCGCAGCUGCAACUGCUGCAGGAUCUGUUGCUGGUUCUGUUGUUGUUGCUGCAUCAUUUGGAGGUGAUUAAGUGGUUAAGUUUUUGUUUUUGGGGGCUUCUUUUAGAAUCUUUGGAUUUAAUAUUUUGUUUAUGUGGGAAAUAUCUUCAUGAUUUAUAUAGAUUUUCUUACUUAGUUAAAAAUGUUUUCUACAAACAGUUUCAUAUUUCAUAUUGCUGUUUUGCAAACUAAAUUAUGGAUUAUUGCUCAUUCUGUCCAAUCAAGCUGCUGGAGCUGGACUCACAGGGAGCAAAAUGGCUAGAAGAACUGGAGGUGUCGAUCAAUUUGAGUUCAAAGCUAUUGGAGAAAAUCAUAACCAGGGCGUGAGUUUGGCUAUCCUCUCUCUCUCUCUUUCUCACACACACAUAGAGAUAUAUUUCUCUAUCUAUCUAUCUAUCUAUCUAUCUAUCUAUCUAUCUAUCUAUUAUUGCUUCAAACUGUAAUUUUACUCACUUUAUGUUUCAGAGGCUAGCAGUCGAGAUCUUGGUUUCAGGAUUUGUGUUUGAUGAGGAAGACUUUAUGAAGCCUUGGGAGGGACAUGAUGACAAUUUGGAAAGGUACAGUCAUUUUACCACUCUCCAACAUGUUUGAAAAACUUGAAAUUACAUGAGUGUUAAUCCAUAAAUGGAAUGAAUAGACGAUUUAUCUAUUUUGACCUUAAUGAAUCUAUAGGUAUGCAGUGCUCUGGGAGUCUAAGAAUUUAAUUGCAGUGAGCACUGCAAUUCAGGAUUGGCUUACCUCAAGUAAUUAUUUUGGACCCAUGGCUACUAUUUUUUUUAGUACUACUAUGAUGAUAAAAGUUGCCCGGGGUAAUGAUUUUGCCACUGGUUGAUGUAGCACUUGCAAUGGGUUUGAUGAAGCAAGGUGCAAUGAUGACUGUGUUAGGCACUCUUGUAACUGCAUUUGCUUGGCCAGCAACAUUACUUGCAGCUACUGCUUUUAUAGACAGCAAAUGGGCAAUUGCCGUGGACAGGUCCUUUUUCUCUCUUACUGGGAAGAGUGGGGAAACCUCUCGUUUCAGUUACUUCCUAUUUACAUAUGGUUUCCAAAAGCUGUUGUUAUGAUUGCAGGAAUUAUUCAUUAGAUGGUACGAAGCACUUUGUGAUGAACCGUCCUAAGAAGAUAUUCAAGUUUUAGUAAUUACAUAAGUAGUAUUUGUCAUGAAUUAAUAGCUAGACAGCUAGUUCUACUUUUUUUUUUCAAUUCCAGGUCAGACAAAGCAGGAAAGCUUCUUGCUGAGGUGUUACUAAAGGGAGUUCAUGGGAACAGGUAUAUAUCGUAACUUCAAAGCACUAACAUUCCUGAAAAACCAAUCAUAACAAAACAAAAAUCCAUUUUGUGAAUUUCAGGCCUGUAACACUUGUGGGUUUCUCACUUGGAGCACGAGUAAUUUUCAAGUGUCUCCAGUGUUUGGCAGAAACUGAACAUCAUGGUAAGCGAUAAUAAAUUGAUAGUUUCUUAUCAAUCGUCUCUACCUGAAUUAAUAGUCGUUAUUUAUUCUCAAUAUUGGCAGCUGAACUUGUAGAACGAGUUGUUCUGCUUGGAGCACCCAUCUCGAUUGCAGAUGAGAAAUGGGAAGCUGCUAGAAAGGUUAUUAAAAUUCUUAUUUAUUUAAUUUUUUUUCCACUACUGAACUUUGCAGAAUUUACAUUUUUUUUUCUCGUCCUGCUAUUUGCAGAUGGUGGCUGGAAGAUUUGUGAAUGCGUACUCCACAAAUGAUUGGAUGCUUGGGGUUGCUUUCCGUGCUAGGUAUAUGCAUAAUGGUUGUUUUGGGGGAGCCUUUGGUCACAUACACACAUACACACAUACACACAUACACACAUACACAAACACAAAUGAGAGUUCAUCUCGACCUUGAACUAGCUUACGAGCUGAUGUUAAUUUGCUGAUUUCCCACGACUGUAACUAAUGAUCACGUAAUGAACAGUCUACUUUCUCGAGGAUUAGCUGGAAUUCAACCAAUCAAUGUUCAAGGGAUUGAGAAUGUGAGCUCUCUCUCUCUCUCUCUCUACUAUUCGAUAUCGGAUUGAAGAUAUUUCUUUCAAUUCCUUGCUUUAUCCAAUGCUUUACAACCAUGUCGGCUUUUAUGAAUAAUCGCCUUAACAAUAUCAGUAUUUUUUCCGUUUUUGCAGGUGGAUGUAACGGACAUAAUUGAUUCGCACUCUUCCUAUCUUUGGUCUACAAAGCAGAUCCUGGAGCUGGUUGAACUGGAAGGCUAUUAUCCCGUUCACAGGAGCAUGAUUUGCAUAAAAUAAACUUUACCUUGUGCUACGUCACCUUCUUUUCUUAGUUUCAUUCCCAGUUUAUUAGUACGAGUUUCGUAUUUGCAAGGACCAAGAAGAGAGAGAACGCAACUGGAUCGAGCUUCUUGCUUCGUAUAUCUUCCAUAUAUUUGUAAGAGAACAAAAAAAGGUUCCAUUUUUUGUGAAUAAAAUGUGUACAUAUUGUGCCUCUUACACUCGCAGAAACAGGUCCGACUGAACCCGCCUAUAUACCAUACCGAAUUCCACCGCCCCCAAUCCCCUUCCUCGACGGUUGCUACCACCGACGCCCCUGCCCCCUCCCUUUACAUUGCUGGCCACCGGAGUGAAACAUAUGGAGUAAAUUGUCCCAAGGGUUAAUACACAUGAAAAACUUUUGCUAUUUUGAAAACUUGAACGGAAUUGAUCACAUCGACUAACAAAGUGAAAGAAAGAUGAUUAUAUGAGCUUAAUGCAAAACCCAUGAAUUUGAACUUUCCAUUCAGCUCAUUUUGAUAAACAAAAAGAAACUUAAUGCUAAAUUUACCUAAACUAUGAAAAGAAAGAUUAGAGAUUUAUGACUCGUUUGGAUGUGCUUUUAAAAUGACUGAAAACACUUUUAGAGAAAAUGUUUUUUUGUUCCAAAAGCAUUUUAAGUGUUUUUUUCAGAAUUUACUUGUAUUUUUACUAAAAAUUGGUUCCAAAAAUAUUUUUAUCAAAAGCGCUUUCAAUCAUUUUAAAAGCAUAUCCAAACUAGUUUUUAUAGUAAGAAAGGUAAGAUUUUAACGAAUUUAACUAAACUCGGUUGCGUUGCAUAUUAUUUUAAAGGAAUGCUAAAGCUCAACUUUAAUCAUAAAAAAAAAAAAAAUAGUCCGGUAAAUUCGUAAGCGAGAGGAGAGAGCACUCCGUGCGAGUUAAAAACCAUGUGUGGGGCCACCCGAGCAAAAUGGGGGUAUACAAACGAGACAGCGACCGCGACACGAUGAGAAGAAGACAGUCACAGAUGGCACAGUGACGACGACGACGACGACGACGACGACGAGGGCCGCCAUGGAUACGAACAACAAUGGCAAAGACGAGCUCCCGGACCAAUCAAAAGCCUCCAAAAAAGGCAGAUCAUGCAAAGGAACACUCUAUUAUUCCUCCGCCCUCAAAUCCAAGGUUUACAAUCCUCUCUGCGUCGGCAUUCCUCGCGCCAUCCCCGAAGGUCUCCUCUUUCCCUUUUUCUCUCCUCUUCGCUAUUUUCUGUUUGGUUCCCGAGAAAUUUUUUAUAAGAAAACGUUAGUUCUUCACCAACGCACCAAUUUUAUUACCACAAAUCUUACCAAUUGCGGAACUUUUGGUACUCUUUCUUUUGAAUUUUGAAAACUAGGGUUUCAACUUCUGGAUUCUGGUUUUGUAUUGGCUUGAGUUUAUUGCAAAAGUUUCUCUUUUUUUCGUUUUAGCAUUUCGCCUUAAAUUUGAGAUUAAUGAUGAUAAUUUUGCUUAGGAAAUUAACCAAAGUCAUCACCUUUGAGCUGCAAUCUGCUUAUAUUUUCCUAUAAAGGGUUUAUCUUUCUUCGCCAUUUUUGCAAUUUAGAUUUUUGAACCGCCUUUUUUUGUAGUUGAGAUUGUUGGUUUGGUGUUUUUUCUUCUUUUUGUCAGUUGAAAUUCGUUCUAUCGUUGUUUUAUUGGACUAGCUACUAAUAUGCAGAUUUUGGUGACCAGUGCCUCAGUCAAUAGUUGCAGAAACUGAAAUGAAAGCUUCUAAAGAUGAUCGACAUCUUACUGAAUUUCGUUAUGCUUGUGCUGGUUACUCUGUGUAUUUGGAUCGAAUUACGAAAGACCAUUCCAAGGAACAACCAGAAUUGCCCGUUUGCUACGGUCUCGAGGUUAAAUAUGUCUCCUCUCUCCUAAGCCCUCACAUAAAAACACAGAGAGUAAAACAUUCUAUUAUGUGCUAAUAUGAGAUGUGGGCAAUUGACCUUAACUGAUUUCUUCAAUACAUGGAGCUUUGCAAGUCGUUUUUCGUGUUUCUUUUAUAUUAAUUGGAUUAGCUUUUACUUUUAUCCUUUUAGGGCUCAUUUGAUGCCUAGGACAGGACCGGAAUGGAUAACUCUUAUAAUUCACUUGACAAUAGAGGUGAAUGAUUUUUCAUUUUGAGGGGAGUAGUCAUGGAGGAGGUUAUCCUUGUAAUCCUACAAUUUUGGGGUGAUUGCAAGGGAUAAGUUUCCUUGAUGGGUUAUCCAUCUUCUAUCUUCAAAAAGUUGGACGCAAUUUUUUCAUUUAUUCUGUAACAUACCUUAAAUAUAGUGAAUUAUCAAACCUAAUCCAAACAAGCCCUUGAAUAGUGAGCUCUUAUCAGAUCAUGCUAUACAAGAUCUAAAUAUAUUGCAUGAUAACAAGCUAUGAACCAUUCAUUAGAGGAUGUGACUUGUGAGCUUCUGGUGCAAUUUGGAGUUGGAUCAAUGCGUUUGGUGCUUAGAAAACUGGAAGUAAUUAAGUCUAUGCAGAAGCUGACUUUCUCGACACAUGAAAUUUCUACAUAAAGUGCUUCUCCCUACAUUAAUCUUUGUUUAGCCAAGCAUUCUGACUGACAUGAGUUACUGCAGCUUUUGGUUGGCAAAAGAAUGAAUCAAAAGACACCUGCUGCCGCUCCUGUUUCUGCCCAUGUCCCUCACAAACGGGGUAAGGAAUUGAAUUUUUGUUUACCCGCCUUUUUUCCCUUGCAUCUCUCUUUCUAGGUUUUGCCUACAGUAGUUCGCCUCCAAUGUAGUCAAGACUUUUCCUGCAAAACUGGCACGCAGAUAAUGAGGUCGCGUAAGUUACUUUGGUUGAACAGAUUUUCACAUUGGUUAGAAAUGAUGUAUAAACUAGUGUUUGGUUUCUAGAAUGAUUUCGAAAAGUACUUGUGCACUUAAGUUAAGGUCAAAUGUUACAUUAAACAUUUGUUGUCGCUUUAUUUAUCGUCUGUGAUUACCUUUUAGAUGAUCAUGAAGUCCCUCAGACUCAGAGGCAGCAACCGCCUCAGUCAGCCGGAAGUCUCUUCUUCAACAGGCAAGCAUAAGAUUCUUCGACUAUUCAAGUGACAAUUAUGGAAUCCUAGUUUUCUGAAACGUUAUGCCUUAUUCGUAAUGGGUUUGUUAAUGAAUGUAUAGGUUUACAAGAAACGCAGAUCUUGUUGCUUCAGGGGUGACUAAGAACAUACGUAGAGUUGGGAAGUACAUAAAAGGAAGUAUCUACGAGUUUCUAUACUCGUACAGAGGGCGACCAAAGUAAGAUUGCUUGUUGAAAAAACCAGACGAAUAAACAAAUAACUCGAGAAGCAGGAUUCGGCUUGAUUCCAUAUCUGCUAUAUUCGUCUUCGAGUCAGCUUGAUUCCAUAUUUGCUACAUGACAAUCGUUUACAGUACUUUUGCGUUACGAUUCUUGUAUAUAACCCUUGUAGAUAACUUUCCCAUCGUAGAACUGGUCGCGUGACUAACAUAUGAGCGUAUUAGUGUAAGAGAAAAGUUAUAUUCAUGGGUUGUAUACAAGAUUUUUCUAGUUCAUGUAAUGCGAGCAGAUUAAUAAGAGAAACCUAUGGGCCUCGAGACAAUUAGGGCCUAUUUUGGGAAGCCCAAAAUCACUUAUGAAGAGAAGCGCUUCUAGUAUUCUUCUGUAUAAGUGAUUUUAUGCAAAACGAUCAAAAUUAAACAUUGAAACAACUGAUAACGCAAGUGCUCUGAAACUUGAUUAGAAUCUAUGACCUCUCAGAUGAAGCCAAAAGCAUCUGUCACGAAAUUAGCCGUAACCCGUCGAAAUUGAAUUCCUCGAAGGAGUAAGACAAAAUUUGGAAACUCUUUCCAUGUUGGAUUUCUUCCAAAAAAAGAAAAGAAAAGGUUUGCGCUGUUUGGCACACAGGCUAAUUUAACCAAAGGAGGCAGCAAACCGCGAAAUCAACAGGAUCUCCCGGUACCCUCCAUCUUUUAUGUUUCGCGAAUCUCGAGACGGACAGGGGACAACAAUCCUAUCCAGUCCUCCAGGAUCUCUCAGUGGGAAAAUUACUAUGUAUUGCUCCUAGCUCUCCGGCUCGUAACUUUCCGGAUAGGGAUAGGUACUGGAUCGGAUUGGAUUUUCAAAUUGUAAGUGUAAUCCUAUCGUUUUCUCGGCAGCCAAACGGUCAACAUUUCUUUUCCGUGCGUGCAGAUUCACGGCAGCCAACCGAUUGAAGAUUUUGAUUCGGAAUCGAUUGAGGGAUUGAGAUUGAGAUUAGCAUUGAGGAAUCAGGUGCGGAAAUCGAAUUCGAAUGGCCGCUGCUGCGGCUUGCAGACGGGUCGCCCAAUUGGGCACCGGGUCGGGGAUCGGAUUAUCCGGUUUCGGAGGGCCCGGUGGUGCUUCGAGAACGGUGUCUCCGUCGGUGGAGUACAGGCAUUUGGAUUGCAGGCUGACUUCUCAGCUAGUCAAAUCAAAUGGAAAGCGGUUGUUUCUCGUCGAUACAUUAGCUCUGGUGAGUAAUCGAAUCGCUUUCUCUUGAGAAAUGAUAAUUUGAAUUUUUGAAAAUUGCAUGAUUGUGAAAAGACGUGAUACAGAAAGGAGUUCCAUGGCGUUCUAGGAUUCAUAUAGCCGAUCCCAUUUAGUGGAAAAAUGCUUUGUUGUUGUUGUUGUUGUUGCAUGAUUGUGAAAAGUCAAAUGAUGAAAAAUUUACAGUGAGAUUAGAGAAGUUGCAGUUGUUGGUAAUUAUGUGCUGCAUUGUGUUUAGGUUAGGAGAUUAGAGGGACAAGGCGUCCCCUCAAAGCACGCGGAGGCGAUAACUGCUGCCAUUACUGAAGUUUUGAAUGACAGCUUGGAAAAUGUGUCUCAUUCAUUUGUUACAAAAGGAGAGAUGCAGAAAGUAAGGAGUUUUCAUGUUUACUCUAAUUUCCCCGUUUACUGAUUACGUCUGUGUAUGUUGUCGUUCAUCAAAUCAUGAUGCUUGUUCUAAACGUAUGUUUUGCGUAAUUGUUUAUAGACGGAGAUGAUCCAAGAAUCCAACUUGUCCAAAUUCAAAUCCGAAAUUCAAAGUGCGCAGGUACUUACUAGCUCUUUCCGUUAGUCAUUACCAAUACUAUGAGAUCGUGGUUUGUAUUUAGUUGUAGCUUUUUCUUCCUGGUUAUGUUGAUAAUUGGAUGAUUCUGUUCUAGUUGCCGUUUCAAAUCUUAUUACUGUUAUGCAUGCAAACAUUGACUGAUUGGAAUUUCUGGAUUAAGCUUGGUCUUUAUUUGUGUUUGUCUUGUGUGUAAAUGAUUUCCAAAUUAUUGACGAUAUGCCAAUGGGACUGCAUUUUGGGUUUUCAACGAUGAUGUUGUCUCCAAGCUCCUGUUAACAUCCGUAGACAUGAAUGCAAGGCUACUCGUAAUUUUCAGUUGCACUAUUAGUGAUCUUCAUGAAUUAUGUGCCCUGAGCCCCCACCCUUUUUGUAUGCGUAUGACGGCAUUAUGAUAAAUGAUUGGACCCCAUCCUGGCAUGGAUCAUAUAUAUUGUGGACAUCAACUACCUUCUUUUGGAUGUUUAGUAGUGUUCAUGUACCUAAAAUAUGAUGUCUCCAUUUUCUGAGUGGCUGUUGCAUGGUGGGGUGUGCUUCUGACUGUGGAUCUUACUGGCAGCCAAACAUUUAGGAUUUCAGCCAUACGUUUAGUUACUGUGGUCGACAUUUCAUCUCAUAACCUCCUACAUGAUCAAAAGGGUUAUUCUCAAUUCAUAGGUUCCAGCAUAUAUGGGCACUGGAAUGGAAUCAAACAAUCCAUUUGGAACCAAUGUUUUAUGACAUUGACAUUUUUUCAGUUUAUUAGAAUGGAUUUGAAUUAUCAGUAUUUCUACAUUUUUUUGGAGCUGAAUUUAUUUUAGUUCAGCCGCAUAAUUGGUCCGGAAUAUGAAUUCCUUAGUUGUUACUGUAAUUACAUUUUUCAAGGUUGACAACCAUGUCUUUAUCUCUCGCCAUUUCUUUAUCACAAGAAGGAUAGUUAUGUUGUUUUUCGAAGUGACCUUGACGUCAUUAAGGUCUUUGUUUAAAAGUUCCUGGAAGGCUUUUCUAACGAGGCUGGACCUCGAUGUUCCCUAAACAAUCAUUGCAAAGAAAAAUAAAUGUUUAUUAGCUCCUGGGAUAUUGCCACUGGUUCUCUGAGAAAAAAAAAAUGUUAUGCAGGGACACCAUUUUUCUUUGUUGCAACACGAGACUGAAAAACUUCGGAAUGAUAUAGAGAAGAUGCGCAGUGAAUUGAGGUCUGAUUAGUGUAGUUACUUUACCGUCAUUAUCUGUCUGUUUCUAUGUGAAUUUGUGGUUGCUUUCUAUAAUCAUCAUUACAGUGCAAAUGUUUUCAUUGUGAUGCAGGUAUGAAAUUGACAAAGUUACCGCAGGACAGCGGUUGGACUUGAACCUGGAAAGAGGGUAAGUGAAUACGUUAAAUAAUGCAUAGUAUUCUCUGAGUUCGUCAAAACCUCUGUUUGAGUCAUGAUAUUGGCUCUCUUUGUUCAUUCAUAUGGUUGAUAAAUGCAGGAGGAUACGAGAAGAGCUAUCUAAUCAGAAUGCUGAAACAAAUAACCUCACUAACAAACUUGAUCGGGUAAGAAUUGGGUGACUACUUUUUCAAUUAGAACUAGGAGCGCGCCGCACAGUCCUUUCACUAACGCUUACUUACAUAUUACUAUCAGGAAAUUCAUGCUUUAAGGGCUCAGGUGGAAGCAGCAAAAUACGAUGUCAUAAAAUACUGCAUAGGUACUCUUGUUUCGAUAUCUGCUGUCGGUCUUGCUGUACUCCGUAUCCUGAUGUAAACUUGUUCUAUGGAUAACGACGACAAAUCCCAAUAGGGGAAAACUGGGAAAUGGUCCAUUCUUUUCAAGCUGUUGUAAUUUUAAGAAAUGUGAUGAAGAUGUGAAAGAUAAGGCGUAGUCAUUACAUUGUAAGUGGGAUCCAAGGAAGAAUUCAAUUACGUAAAACUCAACUUAUUGUCCCUUUUUUUUUUCCUUUCAGUAUUUGUUGGUAAAGGAUCUGAUGUAUUGAGUAGUUUCGUUUGUCAAUUUUCCAUUGAACUUGUACCCUACUGCCGAUUUUCCCGCUAAACAUUUAGUUUGGCAAUUUUCUUCUUGAACUAUUAUAAAUUGCCAAUUUCCCCAUAGUGUCGUGUUUUGUCACCUUCCAUUCGGUUUUACAUUUUAGAAGAGCCACGUGUCGAUGUCGGGCAUUAAAUGUUGUUUGUAUUUGUUCCUCUUCUUUUAAAAUUUUAUUUUUUAAAUAAAAUUUAAAUGAAAUGUGAACAACCAUGGAGGGAAAAAUUGGUUAUAUGCAAUAGUGUAGGGGGUUACUAGUUAAAGGAUAGUGUGAUUCACAUCUAUUUUUACUUCUCACGUAUCCUUGUUAAGUUUUUGUCAUUGCUCUUCAAUUGAUUUGACCAGAUGACCGAAAGAUGUUCAAAAAAGUAAAAAUGGUGUGUGGAUAAGACUACCUCUAGUUAGAGCAACUCCACCUAUAGAGCCCUCAUCCUGGCAAUCCACUAUUGAAUCCACCCUAUUGAACAGUAACUGCCUUGAAUGAAUAGUAACUGACAUUAAUGAACAGUAAUUGCCAUUUGCAUCUUCACCCUUGGAGCCCUUCUCCUGGCAAUAGGCAAUAAAAUAUUAGUUUUUUUUGUUUGUUUAAAUAAUACAAAAUAAAAUUAUUUGUAAUUUCGGAUAAGAUUUUUUAAAUCGUUAUUGUUGUGCCACGUGUCAUUUUAUAUAAAAAAAAAUUAUUUAGAGAUGGAUUUCGAUAAGAUUUUUAUCCAAUGUCAUUGUGCCACGUGUCGUUGUCUUUUGAGAAUUUUUGACGAUAGAUUUCGAUCAGAUUUUAACUCGUUCAAAAUUGCGUCACGUGUCAUUAUCCGAAAAGAUGAGAAAAUAGUUGAGAAAAUAUGAAAUUGUGGUGUAAGGUAGAUGGAGAAGAAGUGGUAUUUAUAGAAAAGUAAAAACAAAUUUUUACAAAUUUUUUUCAGAUUUUUUACAAUUUUUUCGGAUUUUUAAAAUUUUUAUUCAAAUAAUUAAUCUCUGCCGUUGGAUUUAAAAAUUUUGAAUUCCAACACUCCAGAUUGUGCCACGUGUCACAACGGUAACUUUUCUUAAUUUUAAAACUAUUUUUUUUAAUUUAUAAAGCAGAUUAAUAUCAACAGUUGAUCUCAGAUCGAACGGUUGAUAUAAAAUCAGUUUUUUUUUUUUUUUUACCGUUGUAAAUCGGACGGUUCUUAUUAAAGAACCGUUGGGAUCUAACGGACCGUGGGAAGCCACGUGGCUUCCCAACCGUAACUGGCGCACGGGCCAUCCCCCUGAAAUCCUGUCGGGCUACGCGGCCCCACUCGCGAGUGAGGGGCACGCUCCUGACACAAAAAAAAUAAAAAUAAAAAGCCGGACCCAGCCCUUGCGUCAGCCUGACGUCACAAGGCUCGGGGGCCAGGCCUGUCAAUUUUCCACGGGCCUCCCCCUCGGGCUCCCACCCUCACUCGGGCCCUUCCCCGCUGGAGUUGCUCCCACCGGCCCUCGGGCCCUUUCUCCUCGCCUGUCGCCCGAGCAACCAGCAACGCUAGCGUUGCUCUUAAAAUUCAAGUUCAAAGGGAAAAUUUGAUAACGACGGACAGGACAAAAUCGACACAAUACUAUUCUUAAAUUUCAGUAAGUGAUGGGUUGGGUUUGGCUGGGUCAACACCUUUUACUCACAGGAUUUUGAGCUGGUAGCCUGGUAUAGGCCUUAGUCAAAAUUUGGCCCAAUAAUAAAGGGAUCAUACAAGAAAAAUACUUUUGACUUUUUAAGUGGAAGCAUUUCGCCACAAACAGUGCAUCCUCUGAGCUGGGAUCAUACAUGUCAACUGUCAUCUGCUCUCUCUGCAAAUCAACAUGUACAGGUCAAAAUUUGACCUCAAUUAGGAAUGAGGAUUUUUUCGGAUUUUUUUUAUGAAGAUAUCAGGAUUCUUUAUCCGUUUAGGAAUGAGGAUCUUUUUCGGAUUUUUUUUAUGAAGAUAUCAGGAUUCUUUAUCCGUUUAUCGUAUAUUAUGCAGUCAUAAAUUAUUAUAAUUUUUUUUAUUUAAAAUUAAAUAUAAACAAUACCAGACAAAAACUGAUCGUACGAGGUAUGAUAAAUGAACACAAUUAGAGAAUCUUGAGAUCCUCACAAAGAGGAUCUGGAGAGGAUCCUCAUUCCUCAAUUAGUACCCAUCCAGAUAUUUUUCCCUCACUCCUCUUCCUCUAAAGAAAUGAAUAGAAGUUGUUAACAUAAUUUAAUUGUGAUCGUUAAAAUUGAAGAAGACCAGAAGAAAAGAAAAUUUGAAGAGAGAAUUAUAUUCCAUCAAUAUAAUCUAAAGUGCUGUAAGUGCACGCAAAGCAACUGCAGACUUUUCUUUCCACUUAUUUAAUAUGUUAAAAAAAAAAAACAAAUGGAGAUAAUAGAUUGGCAAAUUGGCAAAUGCAAAGAUAAAUAGGUUGGUGGCUCGGACUGCAUUAAUUUGGACAGGUAUUCAAUCCCAGUCCAUCAGCCAACUCAAGUUAAAUAACCAAACCACCCUACUUUAUAAAAUAUGCAUAAUAUUUGAUACACAUAUCCCCUACUGUAUCUGAUUGGAUUCCUUUUUCAUGCUCCUUGUAUACUCUGUCAUCCAUAUUCAGGGUAGUUGAGGAUGGAAAAUAUCGGAUGGCGUCCCUUUCCAGCUCUCUCUUACUUACAUAAACACAAUCUGCUUUCACACACACAUAUGUAGAGAGUUACAAUACACGAAGGCAUAUAUUUUGACAUCUAUUUUUAUAGUACGUAGAGUCUAAUUUAUAUGUAUUUCGACGAUCAGAAUUGUCUAUAUUUUAUUAUAUCAUUUAUAAAUCAUUCUUAUAAAAAAUUAUGCAAAUCCAAGACUAUUAAGACAUUUAUUUGUAGUGAAGAAAAUAAACGAAUAUUGUUCUACAAUGAAACACUAAAUUCAAUCAACAAUCAUAUGGUUUCAAAUUUAGGUGGUUUUUGGUAGACAUUAUCUUUAAGAUAAGACAUAAAAAAAAAUUAAGACAUAAAAGAUAGACGGCUGGAUCCCUAAAAUACAUUACAGAGUGAGUUCCAUAAAAAUGUGUGUCAAAAUGUGUCACAAACGUGUCCCUAAAUCACAACAUAUUUAUAUAUUUUUUUAUACAUAUUAUUUUGAUUCAUGAUCAUUGAUACACAUAGAGGGCAUUUGUUGCACCGGACUGUUUCGGACUGAAUUAGCUUCAAGGACUAGACUUAAUUAGAUUGACUUAGUGAAGCAUUUGAUGUAGUAUUAGAUUACAAAUAAAAAAAUACUAUAAUUUUUAUUAAAUUAUUUUCUUUUCUAUUAACAUUAAUCUCUUUUCUAUCAAAAUUAAUUUCUUCUUGCAAUCCUUCUCCUACCAAACUCUGCUCAACUUCCCCUUCUCGAUUUCUCCGGCAUGCUCCUCCACUUACCUCUUCAUAGUACAAGGAAAAGGCCUCACGUCCUCCUCACUUCACUUUUCACUGCCCACCUAAACUCAAUAUAUUCAUUCUCUCUCUCUCUCUCUCUCUCUCUCUCUCUCUCUCUCUCUCUCUCUCUCUCUCUCUCUCUCUCUCUCUCUCUCUCUCACGCGCGCGCGCGCACACAAACAGAUGCUGAUGCAGCUCAACAAGGCAUUUACGACACUUCCUCCACACAUAAAUCGGUUGGAAUGCACCAUCAAGUAUGUUAUAUGAUAUACGGUACUUCUUCUGGUCUUAUACCACAUUUAAGGUAGAUACAUAAUUAUACACAAUUGGUUACAAACUUUCUUAAUUACUAGUAUGUUACAGAUAAUUUUGUCUAUAUAUUAAUUAACUUUUUAACAUGAUGAGAGAUAACAAACAGUUGUAUACAACUAGUUCAUAAACAAGAUCUCUUCGGGUCACUAGCUAGGGCACUUGUCUUGCAAAAAUAUGGAGCCACCAAAAUGCAUCAACCUGACUUGGGCACCAUAUAUAGAGCCACGGGUAGUGCUACUUACACACUAAUUUUUACUUCUCACAUACUAUUUUCAAUUUUCGGUCGCCGGAUUGAAUUAAUUGAAGAAGAUCAAUAAACAAAAUUAAUAAGAGUGAGAGAAGUAAAAAAAGGUGUGUGAACAGCACUACCCUAGAGCCUUCUUAAUUAUAUUUAGAUUUAUAUGUCAAAGUCCUACCAACCUUAAUUCAUUUUCACAAUCAUUCACUUUUGAGUAAUGCUAGGGAGAUUAAAUUUGUAGACUAAGUUUUGUAAAUUAAAUGAUAUGGAUAUUGAUGAUUGAAUUAUUACUUAAACGUUGAUAAAAGUGCUAAUUUCUUAUUAGUGACACAUAAUUUAGUUUGCAAUUUUAGUCUAUAAAUUUAACCUCCACAGCAUUACUCUUCAUAUUUUUUAUGUAACAAUUUUAACCACAAAUAAAUAUAUAAGUGACAUGCAACAGUCAACUUAAAUGUCAAUUUUCACAACUGCUGAGGACAGCGUGAGCUACUUCUAUCGUAAGCAUGAUUUAACAUUAUUCUACCGUUGUUCAAGAGCUAAUUUUAUUUAAUCUUUAUUCAUUCAUUUUUAAACAAAAUAAUUCUACUAUUGCGCCACCGACCCAGAAAACAAAUUGAAAUCGUAACAUAAGCAGUCCAUCAAUUUUUCCACCAUGACAAAUAAUUUUUGUAACUCAGCCAUUAUAUUUUUAUUUCAAUACAAUAAUAACAAAACAAAAAGGAAAAAAACAGGAAAUUAACGAUAAAUUUGCAUACAUAUUAAACAAAACAAAAGAGAGUGUCUAUAUACACAAAGAGAGUGAAUUAAAAAUUCCCUCACAACUGUUCAUGUUCUCUUUGUAAUUAUUUUGUUUUUCAAAAGAACAAUAAGAAAACGCUUGCAAUUUACCUGUGCAGUUUUCACAGUAUCAUUACACUCCAAACAAAUUCCACCACUGUUUCUCUCUCUGUUUUUUCAUCACCAUCAGAGUGGACAAACCACCCUUUUACUCGGUACGGCGAUGAGUCGACUCGCUCUCGGAGCGGUGAGUCCAAACACGUCGUUCAUGUCGAGCUCACUAGGUUUCAUACCAUCAGGCAACUCCCACGUAAAACAAUGAAGCAAGUGUGCCACCGCCAUCUCCAGCGCGUACAACCCUAGUUGCAUGCCCGGGCACGACCUCCGACCGGACCCGAACGGAAUGAACUCGAAGUUACUCCCCUUAAAGUCAGGCACACCUUCUUUCAAAAACCUCGAGGGCUUGAAGGACUCGGCGUCCUCCCACGAGUCCUUGUCACGUCCAAUGGCCCACGCGUUGAUCAUCACACGCGAUCUUUUGGGAAUGCGGUAGCCGGCUACUACAGCGUCCUCCGAGGUCUCGUGGAGGAGUAGUGGAAUUGGUGGGUGGAGUCGUAGUGUCUCUUUUAGGGCACAUUUUAGGUAUGUCAACUUCUCGAAGUCGGUCUCUUCAGGUCGACGGUCUAGACCCACCACGUCAGCAAGUUCUUGUUGGACCCUCUUUAGGUCCUCCGGGCUCUUCAUCAGCUCCGACAUGGCCCACUCUAUUGCCGACGCCACAGUCUCCGUCCCGCCAAACAUUACGUCCUGAAAGUACGUAGCAUAUAUAAUUAGCUUAUUAAUUUGCAUAUACAGCAUGUUAUAUACCUAGUCAGAUCGUCAAUUUAAACAAUCAGUUUCAAAAUAAUAUAAUAUGUUAGACUUUCUAUCUUCAUUGUCUCAAUACGCAAUUAAUAUAUCUGAUCAGAUAAAAAGAAAAAAUUAGCCAAAAGUUUAGUCCAAGAAAACAGGUUACAUAGACAUUCAACCUGUGGGGUUAUAAUAUAAAUAUGUGAUAUGAAAUUGUGUAAUAGUUAUUUACCAUGAUGAUGGCCUUGAUGUUAUCCCUAGUAAGUUUGAUGGCGUUUUGCAAAUUAUCUUCAGAUUCAUAUACUUUAGCUUCUUCACUGUAAAAAGCCAACAACUCAUCCACCAUGUCCGUUUCACCGUCACUCACUCCCUUACCAUUCCUUUUCUUCUCCAUGUGAUCAUCUAUGAUGGUGUCAAUGAACCGAUCCAAGGACUCACGAGCCUUAGCGAGUCUAUUGUUUAGCCCCUGAGGAUCAACCCACCCCAGGCUAGGAAUAAAAUCAGCAAUAUUAAAAGCUCCAAACAAUUUGGAAAAUUCCUGCAGUAUCCCAAUAAACUCAUCCUGCCCUUCCUGAGAGCUCGUCCCGAACGCCGCCCGAUAAAUAAUAUUUUUCGUGAGCGAAAAAACCAACUCUCCGAUGUUUACAGCCGAACCAACAUGAACUGUGACGGUCCUAACCGAUGAGUCCACUUCAUCCCUGACAGACUCCCAGGACUCGGCGCGUUUGCGACUAAAGAGCUUCAUGACGCAGAGCUUACGCAUCUGGCGCCAGAAGGGCCCGUAGUGCGCGAAGGCCAUGUCAGCGCGGUCGUAGGUGAGGUAGCUGAUGGCGAUGGUGGCCGGGCGGUUGGAGAAGAUGUUGUCUUGGACUUGAAGGACUUGUCGUGCCACGUCAGGGUUGGAAAUCGCAACCAUGUGUAAAAACCCCAUGCGGAGGUGGAAUAUGCCGCCGUAUUUCUUGGCCAGCUUGGCGAGGCCCCGGUGAGUUAGUUGGUCCAUCAAUAACAUGUUGCCAAUAAGGGGUAGGCCUUUGGGGCCGGGCGGGUAUGGUGGUGGUCGCCGGAAACGGAAAAUUAGAGGGAGGAGAAAUAGGAGUGGGAUUAUGAGCAAGAGUGGUGUCAUGGAUUGUAAGGGUUGCAAGGACUGCAGAAGAUAAUCCAUAUUGUGUGUGUUUCUUUUGUUUUUUGUUUUUACCUUUUUUCGUGGGUAUGAUUAGCAGAAGUAGCAGGGCAACCUCCAAAUGUUGCUAAGUUGGAAGAGAUAUUAUGGUGCCUUUUAUAUACAAAGUUUGUGCAACUGUUGGAUUAUUUAUUUAUUUUUUUAGUGCUACAGUGGAAUUUGGUCAGGCUAUCGAGAAAUAAACUAUUUAAAAACAAUUGAGAUUGUUUAGUUUUGUUUAUAGUAUUUUUAUGGUAUGAAAGUUGGAAAAGAAAAGAAAUAGUAUGGGACAAGAAACCAAGUUUGGGGAUUUUUGGAUUGAAUCCCUUUUUUUUCUCAUUAUCCAAAUUCGAGCCGUUUCGACGUUUAUACUAUGUUUGAAUGGAGAAAUUUAAAGUUAUUAAGAAAUUUUAAAAUGACGAGAUUUUAUUUUCUAAAAUUUAUGAAUUUUCUUAUUUGAUUAACCUAAAAGAACAAUGAAAUUGAGAAUGAACUUUGUUAAUUUUAAACUCUCAAUCAUAGAAAUUGAGAAAUGAUACCUAUUUACAUGGAAUUUAAACUUGGGAAUUGGAGGUCCUAAAUUCCAAGUUUUUCUUUCACGCUGAAAUUCUAAAUUUCUAUGUUUAUAAAUUCAAACAAGCGAAUUGGUGUAUAUCAAUUUAUAAAUUCUGAUUUUUAUCUAAAUUCUAAGUUUAUUUCUUUCAUCCAAUCAUAGUAGAGACGUAAGAAUUUGAUUAUAAAUAUAUGAAGUGUGGACUGGGAGUAUUAAUUAGUUAAUAGUAAGACGCUCCACCUAAAACAAACAAGAAAUGAGAGAGUUCGUAGAGUCUCCUCAUAGGAACGAUAGAGUCUACUCAUAGGAACAACGUCACAAAAUUGCUUCAAUUUGACUUUGUCUGAAGUAAAACAACUGAUAUUUUUACAAAUAAGUCCCAAAUUAAUAAAGCAAAUUUCUACGCCACCAUUUGUAUAACAACAAUUAUAUUAUAAUUGUCAUUUACUAUUCAACGUUACAUAAAUAGUGAUCGAGGUUAUGGAAUGAUAUUGUUACACUAAUGUUUGAUGGUUAUGAAUGUCUUGUUAUAGUAUAGCGUUUAUAGACGCAAGUUAUUAAAAAUAGACGUCAAGAAAUCUCACAUUUAUCAGUAUUCACUUUUGACUCUUUACCUUCACAUUUGGUGUUAUAAAAUAAUGUUAACAUUCAACGUCUGGACUACAAGAAAUAUAAGGUUAAUUACACCAUAAUCGUUAAGAUUUAUAGUCUAAGGUUACACAAUAAUAGUAAGAUUUUAGUUACAUAACACAUAAUGACAUCAUUAUUGUUAUAACAAUAUUAACUUUUACGUUAUAGACAUCAUAUCAUGUUGUCAAAAUAAAAUAUUAUUAUGCAUAUACAUGAUUACAAGAAAACAUGGUUUGGUUAUAAGAUAUACCUUAUGUGGCGCCUUGAAAUAAUUUAUAUGUCUUGGAAACCUAAGUACAUCUUAAACUGAUUAACACGAAAGAGAUAUACAUGUAAUUAAGUUAAUUAACAGAGAUUUCGUACAGCAAAUGGAAUUGAUUAUCUGAAAUUCCUUCAAUAAAAGGACUAAUAAAUAAAACUAAACUUACAAGAAAUGAGUUCAGCUCUUGCAAUUUAGACAAAAUAACUUACAGACGAAUCUUGGAUAAUAUGUGUUGACAUUUUUUUAUUAAUGUUUUCCUGAGAAAAAUAAAUUAAUGGUUCUAAAGUUCAACCAUGGCUGGAAGGCAACAAGAAGAGCUGCUGCCAUUGUGGACUUUCGUCGAACUAGUCACAUACAUGUGAGGCAUAUUGGUCCUCUCCACCCAAAUAUAAAUAUAUUCACCAAAUUGAUCGAAUCUCAUGCGAUUGUUGAUUUGUUUCCUAAAAAAAUAUCAUGUAAAUCAAGUUUUAGUUAUCAGUUGGGCACUCUUUUUAGUCUCUUAUAUUUUUAUUGAAUCAUAUAUAUAUGUGUGAGUUACAUAUUGGUUCCUUAAAUUACUAGUCAAAUUAUGAUGGUGCUUCUUUGGAAAACAAAUCUUGAUUUAUUUUGUGGGUUUCUUUUUAAUUUUUGGGUAAAACCCUAAUUGGCUACACCUAACCCCCGAUCUCUUCAAUGUGAAUCAUACAUGAUUAAUCUAUUAGUAAGUAUUGUAUCUGAAAGGUGAUAGAUUUGAUGCUCGACCUUAUUAGCCAUACCAACACUAGUACAAAAAUAUGUUUGCGCGACGGAAACUUGCGCGACGUAGCAAAUUUCGUCGCGCAAACAUACUUUGCGCGACGCUACAAAGAAACCGUCGCGCAAACAUACUUUGUGCAACGACACUUUGAGCGACGCCAGGCUUCGUCGCGCAAAGAUGUUUUGCGCAACGUAGGUACCCCUGCGUCGCGCAAGGCCGUUUUGCGCGACGCCAGGCUUCGUCGCACAAAGUUUUGGCGCCAAAUCAAGAUAAUUUACCACUUUUUUCCUAAUUUGCGCAACGCUGGUGCACAUACGUCGCGCAAAACAUCUUUGCGUGACGUAGGCAUCCCUGCGUCGCGCAAAACAGCUUUGAGCAACGUAUGUCUUUGUCGCGUGAAGCUGUUUUGCGCGACGUAGGGGUACCUACGUCGCGCCAAUAUUUUUUUUUUUUUUUGGGCCUAUCUUUUGGGGUUCUUGCAUUGCCUUUUUCUUUUGUUGUAUCCACUUGUGUAAAUGUUUUAAAUUGACGAUCGAAUUAAUUCAUUGUAUUCAUAUAGGGUUAAGGAAUGUAGCUGUAAAAAAUCAUCAAAAUCGGAGUUAAAAUAACCGUUAAAUCGUGAUUUUUCAUUUAUCGCCGUCGAAAAGGUUUGUCCCAUUACUUGAUAUCUGAAUAUUAUUUUUUUGCAAUUUUUAGCAUUUGCGAUCUCGAAACAUGUACAAACAAGUUUGACGGUUGGAUCGUUGAAACUAAUUUCGUACAAUGCGUUUCCCAUCAAAACAAUAGAUUCACUAACACUUAGAGUUUAUUUAUACUUUCAUUAAGUAUAAUAUAAAAUUUUGUGGUAUUCACUUCUGUAAAUGUUUUAAUUCGUUGAUCGAAUUAGUUCAUAAGCAAAAGGGAAAUACAUAUUUAAAAAAAAACAAAAAAAAAAGAAAAACAAAGGCUUUGCGCGACGUAGGUACCCUUGCGUCGCGCAAAACAUCUUUGCGCGACGUAGGCCUACGUCGCGCAAAGCGUUUUUUUUUUUUGGACCUUUUGCUUUUCUUUUGGGGUUCUUACAUUGUCUUUUUCUUUUGUUGUAUCCACUUGUGUAAAUGUUUUAAAUUGACGAUCGAAUUAGUUCAUUGUAUUCAUAUAGGAUCAAGGAGUGUAGCUAUAAAAAUCAAUCAAAAAUCGGAGUUAAAAAUAACCGUUAAAUCGUGAUUUUUUCGUUUAUAACCGUCGAAAAGUUUUGUCCCGUUACUUGAUCUUUUGAAUGUUUUUUUUUUGUGAUUUUUUGGCGUAUGCGAUCUCGAAGCAUAUACAAACAAGUUUGACGGUUGGAUCGUUGAAACUAGUUUUGUACAAUGUGUAUCCUAUCAAAACAAUAGAUUCACUAACACUUAGAGUUUAUUUAUAUUUUCAUUAACUAUAACAUAAGAUUUGUGGUAUCCACUUGUGUAAAUAUUUUAAAUUGACGAUCGAAUUAGUUCAUUGUAUUC